UCCAGAAUUAAUGGCUUCUAAUGCAUCUGAAAAGGUAGAAUACAACUGAAUCAGUCCACUCUUGCCCACGUCACUAACACAUACUAAGGAAUAGUGCAAAAUCUAGACGAGAAUCGAGAAACUAAUUACAAACAGGAAAAAAGAAGUAUCCCAUGGAUAGGCAAAAUCUCUGUCGAUCAUACAUGUACGGCAAGCAGAAGUAACGGCUAUACGUUGCCGGUUGAAUCCACCCACGGCACAAAUAAAGAUAUACCAAGAUCUGCAGAAUAGUUUGUCAUGAGGUUUCUAACUAUGAUUGAUAAACAUAAACAGAGGAUGAGCACACAUGAAUUUUUCCUGAGUUGUGUAGAAAACAGGCCUUUAUAAAGAUAAUAAUGAAGAGAGUAUCAUUACAUAAUUGAUGUAUAUUUCCGUUUUUCCUCUCCAACUAGCCAGGUUGGGCAUAAACCGUGGAAUUAAUAACGAAAUAAAUGAGAAGAUGUACUAUUUUAUAUAGUUAUGGAACCGAAACCUGAUGAAAUGACCAAUUCAAAGCCUGGGUGCAGCGGCGACCUGGGUGUCGCGUGAUGCAAUGGUGCGAGGCCGCGGCAGAAAGCGGUGGUGCGAGGCCGCAGUAGCGGGACGCGGUGGUGCGAGGCUGCGUCAGCGGAACGCCGUGGUGCUGCCUAGGCCGCGGCGACAGGGCUGUUGGCGACGGCUAUGCUGUUGGCGGUGCCUAGGGCUUCCUCGCUGCUCCGCCGUUGCCGUUCCGAGGGGAUGACGGGAGCAGGGAGGCUAACUGACCUAGGUGGAGAAAAGGGAGGACCCAGCGACGACGACCGCGGCGGCCAAGCUGUUGGCGGUGGCGACGACGACCGCGGCAGCCAAGCUGUUGGCGGUGGCGGCGACGACGCGCAUUCAGAGGUGCUACGUCCGCCAUGGGUAGCAGGAGCUCGGGGACGAUGCGAUCCUCCGCCCACAGAGCAGAGGAGGGAGAGAGAGACUGCGGCGACGACACGAGAGUGGAAGGGGAACGGGCCUCGGGGCGGUGCGGGACGAGAAAUCCACCGGGCAGAUUAGUACCAUGCCGAAAGUUUAAUCAGGACGCGACCAGUUUAUUAGGCCUAAUUCUACUAACUGUAUCGCGGAUAUGCACGGCUGUUGGCUGCGAAAGAUGCCAAAGCGCACAAAUAAAAGAGGCCACCGAGCCCAAUCCGUGACCCAGCAUCCAAUAGUGCACACGGACGAAAAGAUGGCCUCCGAGCCCAGCCGUGACCCAGCACCGAUAAAUGCGCACGGACUAAAAAUAAAUGCAGUGAAAAGAUCCCCUAUGAAGGCACGGUCGUAAAAAAAUAGCGCAAUUGCAUCCCCUGGGUUGGCACAUGCUAGACAUUAGCACUUGGCUUUUUGUUCAAAUUCCCAUUUUGUUGUAAGAAUUGCAUCCCGACGACGGUGGUGGUGCUAGAGUUGGCAACUAGCAUGUCUGCUUGCGGUGGGCAUGGAGAGGAGCGCUCGAAGCCAGCCAUGGCGUCCGCUUGCAACUGCCGCAAGGUUGCUUCCAGCGGCCAGGGCGCGUCACACAACCAGCUUUUAUUGUGGAGGAAAAGAAAAGGGGAUGAGCGGGAAAUCAAACAUUCUAUGAAAGAGCGGGAGUUCAAACAGAGUAAGAUUGCUAGAUUGUAAAACAGGGUAGCUCAGUGUCUUGUGAAUUAUGCAUGGACAGCUCGAAGCACUGCUUGUUGGUUGCAUAGAGCUCCAUAUUAUGUUCAAAAUCUUGUAAUAGCUGAUUGUAACCCUAUUGAAUUGAAAUAAAAAAAACCUUAAUUUUAGGGGAUGAGCAGCGGAGGAGAUGAAGAUGUAUUGCUACAACAACGAGAGAGAUAUUUCAUAAGGUGGGAAAGAGAUAAGGAUAAGAAGGGCGGUGCUAGCCCCACAAGAACGUGGGUGCAAGGUGGAAUGCCAGGACACUAGCAACCGCCUACCAUGCGUGCGAUUUAGCUAGAUCAGACGCGUUCACGUGCAUCCGGUUCAAAGUUGGGUCGGCCAGCCGUAUUCAAGCGUUUUGUCUUUGUAAUAUAUCAGCAAACCGUCUAACUAUUUCUUUACAUUGCUUGCCCAUGCACUGCCAUACAAUAUACACAAAUCGAAUCCCACAUGAAGCGGUGAUGAUAGAGGACAGAACCAUGCAGACACUUACCAGUAUCACACUCAUGUCGUUAAUUACACACGCACGUGUCGAGUGCCGAGACACACCAAGACGAACACACUCACCAGUGAAGAGCAUGAUUCCACGAGAUAGGCUAAUCUCUGACCUGCAUUCUGAUCUUAGGGAUAAAGCUCUCAUCGCCAUGCCCAUCAGGUUCAGAGAUGUAGGUGUUGGUCGUUCUGUCAUUGUCCUUGAUGAAACAAUAGGCAGGCACCUGCCAUUCUGGGUCCACCGACACUGUUUCUCGUGGAAUCAGUGAAAAGAUCCCCUAUGAGGGCACAGUCGUAAAAAAAUAGCGCAAUUGCAUCCCUUGGGUUGGCACGUGCUAGACAUUAGCACUUGGUUUUUUGUUCAAAUUCCCAUUUUGUUGUUAGAGUUGCAUCCCGACGACGGUGGUGGUGCUAGAGUUGGCGACUAGCGUGUCUGCUUGCGGUGGGCAUGGAGAGGAGUGCUCGAAGCCAGCCAUGGCGUCCGCUUGCAACUGCCGCAAGGUUGCUUCCAGCGGCCAGGGCGCGUCACACAACCAGCUUUUAUUGUGGGGGGAAAGAAAAGGGGAUGAGCGGGAAAUCAAACAUUCUAUGAAAGAGCGGGAGUUCAAACAGAGUAAGAUUGCUAGAUUGUAAAACAGGGUAGCUCAGUGUCUUGUGAAUUAUGCAUGGAUAGCUCGAAGCACUGCUUGUUGGUUGCAUAGAGCUCCAUAUUAUGUUCAAAAUCUUGUAAUAGCUGAUUGUAACCCUAUUGAAUUGAAAUAAAAAAACCUUAAUUUUAGGGGGAUGAGCAGCGGUGGAGAUGAAGAUGUAUUGCUACAACAACGACAGAGAUAUUUCAUAAGGUGGGAAAGAGAUAAGGAUAAGAAGGGCGGUGCUAGCCCCACAAGAACGUGGGUGCAAGGUGGAAUGCCAGGACACUAGCAACCGCCUACCAUGCGUGCGAUUUAGCUAGAUCAGACACGUUCACGUGCAUCCGGUUCAAAGUUGGGCCGGCCAGCCGUAUUCAAGCGUUUUGUUUUUGUAAUAUAUCAGCAAACCGUCUAACUAUCUCUUUACAUUGCUUGCCCAGGCACUGCCAUACAAUAUACACAAAUCGAAUUCCACAUGAAGCGGUGAUGAUAGAGGACAGAACCAUGCAGACACUUACCAGUAUCACACUCAUGUCGUUAAUUACACACGCACGUGUCGAGUGCCGAGACACAUCAAGACGAACACACUCACCAGUGAAGAGCAUGAUUCCACGAGAUAGGCUAGUCUCUGACCUGCAUUCUGAUCUUAGGGAUAAAGCUCUCAUCGCCAUGCCCAUCAGGUUCAGAGAUGUAGGUGUUGGUCGUUGUGUCAUCGUCCUUGAUGAAACAAUAGGCAGGCACCUGCCAUUCUGGGUCCACCGACACUGUUUCUAGCAUGAAGCUCAUCACAUAUGCAAUCCACCCUAUGAAGUCACAUAAAUGUCAUCGAGAUCAUGCAAAUUCAGGUUAAUUUUCGAGACAUCAAUGAAAAAAUCAUGUACGUUUUUAAUGAACCCUCCUCCUCACGUUACAUUAUCAUUAAUGAAACCAGAUACCACAUCCAAAUUUACAGUAGUUCAUGCUCCGAAAACCGAAGUCCAAAAACGUAAAACCAAGUCCUGCAAGUACAUUGUUUACUAUCAUUACGACGCACACCUCUCUUUGUCAGAGCCUUGUAUACAUAUUUAUUUGUCAUAUCAUUUUUUAGCGAUCUUCAUGAAUCUGCAGCUUUGGUCCUAUCAACAGAUAGAGGCAAAGCCAAAUGUCUUACUAGUCCCAGUUCAAGUUUAUGACCAAAUUAAACAUGUCUGCAAGUAAUGUUACCUCUUGCUUGCUUAAGAUAUAUUGUAUGCAUUGUGCUGGAUUUAAUUGAUUGUAUUAGUUAUUGGUGCGGUGUGCAGUGGCGGAGCUACACAAGAUUGGUUGGAGUGGGGGGGGGGAGGGGGCACAAAGAGAAGAAACCAACUUUUGUAGGCGCAUAAACUAUUUUUCUUUUGUCAAUCCAUGCCUUCUUAUAAAAAAAUUCUUCAUGAAAACUGCCAAACCUGGGGCCAUGGCCCCUGUACAGUUACAUGUAGCUCCGCCAGUCGUGGUGUGAGCUUCACUUAGACUAGAAGGUGUUUCUUUGUGACAAAGCAAGUUGCAACAACUGUCUUUAUGUGUGCCUUAGCGAGAUGCCAUAAUUUUUCUAUGAUUCUAUGCAAACUGAUCUCAUCAUUAACACAUUGUUCUUAUCUCUCUGUUUGACUUAACAAAGAUGACAUCAGUUUUAGAUGGCACAUCUUGAUUUGAGCCAUGACAGGCACUUGAUCAUGUCGACCGAGCCAUAUCUUUAUUGCAUGCAAGCAGCAUUGGAACUGUCCAAGCAAAUGAUUGGCAGUCCUGUCCGAGGGGCACGAGAGCGGCACCGAAGUUGUGAUUAUGAGUUUCUUGCGAGCUUGAGAAUUAUAAUAACAAUCUCCUAUUGAGCCCCUUUUAUUUAGUUCAGUUGCUCUGCAUUUGGCCUCCUUGUUCCUUUGUCUGUUCUACCCUGUCAUCGAUUGUUCUUCUGCACUUCCUGAUUCUACCGUCCAACAUUUCCCCUCUCCCCAAUCUAGCUGCUAAAACUUGUUUUCUGGCUCCAGGAACAUCCUAAGUUCAAAUGAAAUUUUUUAACAUGAUCGUAUGUCCAAGUAAGCAAGUGAGGGUUUUUUCUUUUCUUUACAAACCAUCAUCAAUUAAAAGAAUUCGUUUGAAAGAAAAUAAUUUCACCACCUUGCGAUUGUGCUCAUGUGCUGAAAUGGUUGUUUGCACUACAAAACCUAGCUCCAGUUACACCUGUACAAAUGCUAGCCUUAAGUAGAAUUGACCGUUGAGUAAUACUACCCCAAUGUUACUUCAUUGGCAGCUAUCUCAAGCAUCGCCCUAUCAUGUAGUACAAAGAUUAAGUUCCAUAUCAGUUCUGCACCUAUAAUUUCUUCCGGUCAAAACCCGUUCUAAAAGUUGAACAGAGUGCUAGUUGGUGGAACUUCCCUGAUCCUGCUUUUAGGUGAAAAGCUCAGUUCUGUCACUGCCCAUCUUCUCAUUUCCGGCAUGGAGAGUGAGUAAAUUAUCUGAAAAAUGAUUUCUAAUUCAUAGAAUGGCAAAUGUUUUCUUCUUUUUCAAUAGGCUCUGGAACAGUUGGAAAACAGCUAAUAACUUGUCAAAAGUAGUUGCAGAAGACAUAACGAUAAAUAUAUCAUCAACUACUUCCUAAAACUUGGGUAGCUUUUCAUUAGUUUCCCCAAAAGUGAUUGAAUGAAAAGUUAUUCAUGAUUCUAUUUCCUUCAGUGUCUCAUAGUGCAUUGAUCUAGGAAGAUGACUAGUGAUGUAGGAAGAUGUCAGACUGGAUGGCAAAAAAGAAAGGGAGGUGGGAUAUGCAAUCUGUAGCACUAUCUGAAUUCUUACUUGGAUUAUCAUCACUUCCCGACUAAAAUUCUUGAUCAAGUGAUACAUGCUUGUCACGGUAGUCCUGGACAUUUCCAAAAAAUUGCAAGUGAUACAUUCUUGAUCAAGUGAUUUGGAUUAUCAACUUAUAUACUUAAUUUUUGUUGGACUGCAAUAUAUUGCGCUCAACAUAUUACAGUUCCUAAAGCUUUGCAUAUUUCUUGAUGCCCUUCUCAUAGCUCUUCAUUUCCUCUGGUGUUGACAAGUUGGUUAGCAGGGUAACCCUUGCUGAUGAUACCAAAUCUUUGUGCUCCGAUGUGGAAGGAUCCAACAGCCAUAUCUGGACCUCCCAAACCUGUCAGAUUCACCAUUUUUUAGCAAAUACAAACACUUUUGACUGACAAAUUGUGCAAAUAACUGAAAUACCCGAAGAAACAAGAACAAUAUAAAAGAGGAGCCAUAUCCACAUCUAUAAUUGUGCAGCAUGCAUACUUUGCACAGACUGAAUGCUAUUCUACUAGUAGUGAUGUACUACCUCCGUCCCAUAAUAUAAAAACGUUUUUGACACUAGUGUAGUGUUAAAAUCGUUCUUAUAUUUUGAGACAGAGGGAGUAAUUGUAGAGCGAGUUCAGUGAAUCUUAACAAAGUAUAUUCCGACAGCAUGAUACGUGGACAUUUCAUGGUUAAUGACUGGCUGCUGCAAUUAAUCUGACCCCACCCGUCACUAUCUUGCGCAGAACAUUUUUCUUCUUUUAGUGUGUUUGAAAAGAGAAGUGUGUUAGCCGUUAGAGAAGACCUGUGAGACAAGCAGAAGUGUCAAACUUGUCCAUUGUUGACACCAGAUUUUGGCACGGUCAAGAACUUAUUUAACAUGGCCUCAAAUGGAGAAGUGAUCUACAUGAAAGAGUUCCGUAUUAUUGAUAUGAAUAUCUUUGAAGUUUGGGUCAUCGUCGUUCGAUUUCAUCUCGAAGGCCGAAACUAUGCUCAAAGUACUAAGAUCUUAUAUUCAGAGUACAGUUUGGCCGAUUAAGCCCCUAAGACGACCUCAAAUGGAAAAAUGACCUACACGAGUUGUCUUCGUCUCGUCGAAACGGUCGAUUUUGAUAUAAAAAUCGUUCAAAUUCAAGUUCGUAUGCAAAAGUUAGAGCAAUCGGAGUGCAGCACUGUCACGAGGCGAGAUGUGGCGCGCCCCACCAGACACAUGUCUGAUGGGUAGCGCGAGGGAAUAACCUGUUUUGCGAGACCGAUUUGACCCUCAAAAUGACCUCUGAUCAAAAAACUUUCAACAUGAAAGUUGUUCGUCUUGUUGAAAUGGUUAAUAUUGCUUUUGGUCUCGUUUUCAUCCGAGAUCGUUUACCACCACAAAAAAGACCCGCAAGGUGUAGCCAGUUUAAACCAAAUAGUUUUGGAAAGUUCGGACAAAACCAAUCCGAAUUGGACUGGGGUUUUGGACGUGAAUUGAAGCCUUUUCCUUGCACGGGAAGUCCAGCCGCCUUUUAUAUACCUAAGGGAUGACGGCCGAUUGAACAACACACAAUCGACAUAUCAAUCUAUCAUCUUUUAUCUUUACCUUUACCUUCUUCCUUUGUUCUUCUUCUUCUCGUUCUUCGUUCGUUCUUCUUGUUGUAGGGCGGCGAACCUCGAGGACCUAGGGGCGGUCAGGCCGACCUAGGGCAGCCCAUAGCCGCCGCGCGCCCUGACGGGGUCCCUCCCGGGCGUGUGGGGUUUCGGGUCCUGAAAAGCACCUGCCGGAUUGCUUGCGUACCGCGCUUCCGGACGGGUCUCCUUCAACGUGAGCUGCGGUGCAUCACCCUCGAUGUUGGAGGUACACUGUGACGUGUUAGUGUGCGAACACACUUUUUGGCGACUCCGCUGGGGACGAAGCUUUGAACGGUCUUCGGCCUAUUCUUGCUACGAAGAGAUCGUCAUCUAGGGUUUGCAAUCUACAAAGGUAAUAUGAAUUUCCAAUUCCCCUUUGUAGAUGCAAAUAAUCCAUAUGUUGUUGCUGGAUCACCUAAUGAGCAUAAUGUAUCGGCCAGCCCUAGUUUUAUCAAUCAUGCAUCUAAUUAUGUGCAAGGUCCGAUGCAAAACAAUCUUCAUGCUUGAAAUUCUUAUGAUUUUAGCAACGUACAACAUAUGUAUUCAAACUCUCAUGCAUCGGCAACCCCACAAAUCCAUAUGCCGAUGAACAACAUGAUGGGUUUGGUUAAUCAAUUUGAAGCACCUCAUGUUAAAAUUUUCAAUAGCAUACAAGAAAGUAUUUCACCUUUAUAUUCAUCGGCAACUAAUUUGCAAUAUGUGAAUCCAACCUUGUCGAUGGAUGGGAGAAUUGGCCAUGCUACUACUAGCUAUUCGGCCAAUUACUCUCAACCAUCAUAUGAUACACCUCAUGUUAGUAAUUUGUCAGCACCGUAUGCAACUGUAGAUGUUCAUAAUUCGACCCCGCAUCUUCAUGGUCAUAGCCGAAUAAGUGAAAAUUUUACAGGAACACAUGUGCCGUCAUCAAAUACUGUAGCAUAUAAUGCAUACUCUACACAAUUCAAGAAUUUCAACAACACUCACGAAUCAUUGCCGAAAGAAUCUGAAAGUAUUGCGGAGCAAUUCCUUCCAGAAGCGGUUGUGGCUGCAUUAAAAAAGAGCUUGGCACAAGACAAGAGAAUUAGUGCUCUUUGCCUUGAACAAUAUGAAAAGGGGUUGUUUCCUGAUUAUGCUGCAAUAAAGGCUAGAGUUUUGCAGGAAGAUGAAACUUCAUCGAUUGAUAGUAUUGUUGAGAGAGCAUAUGGUUAUACAGCAGUGCAUACACCUCCACCUAGUAUUGCAGCAUAUUAUGCAUCCCUUACACAAUUGCAAAAUUUCGGCAACACUAACACUUCAUUGCCGAAAGAUCCUAAAAGCAUUGGGGGGCAAACUAAUCCAGAGCGGGCUAAAAUUGAGAGGGGAGUUAAAGCUUUGCGCGAUAGGGUGCAAGUAUUUCGCCAAGAAAGAAUUGAUAGGGAAUUAGCUCAAAGAAAAGAAGCCUUACCAAUUGAUAUAACUGGUGAAAAGAAUGAUGAUUCGGAAACUAAAAGUGCUUCAGUUGAAAAAGCCGAAUCAAGUAGUAUAUAUUCUGAAUCCAUCAAAUCCAAGGAGGCAAACAUUGUUGAGAAAGGGCAUGGAAAGUAUAGCAAGACAGCCAUACUUGACUUUUCUGAAGUUAAUGGAACCUACUUCCUGCCCUAUGAGUUUCGUGCCAUAAAAAUUGAUAAGCUUCAAGAACAAGAACAAGUGGCCAAAGAAAGCUUGGUGGACGAAGUUCUUCGAACUAAUGAUGCACGAAAUCAAGAGAAAGAUGAUGACAUGGCAUUGGGGAGCUAUCCGAAGGCGGAGCAAGAUAUUCUUCAAGUCACACCACCAUCACGCUCUCCCAACAUAUUUGAAGAGGUAUGUCUACCAAUUAAUUUACCUAUUUUCAGAUUUGGUCAUGACUUUGUUGUUGAUGCAUAUAUUAGAAAAAUAUUCAUAAGAAAUAUUGAGAGACCAAUGAAGAAGGGUAAUUUAUUUGUUAGCAAUCAGAUUGUCACAAAGCAUAUCGGUCAACACAUUACACCAUUCAGAAAGACCGAUAGUGAAAAAUUAUUGCAGCCAAGGCUUUCCCCAUUACUUUAUCUAAAGUUCAUAUCUAAUUGGGUAGAUUUGCUUAUUUCUUACUUGGCUUAUGUCGUGGUUCUAACUCUGACAGUGAUGUAGUGGGGUAUGUAUGGAGAGGCUAGAUCUUAGCUAUUGAGGAGUUGUAAGCACACGAGGAUUACGAGUUCAUGCCCUUCUCGGAGGAAGUAACAGCCCUACGUCUCGGUGCCCGGAGGCGGUCGACUGAAUUAUGUGUGUAUGAAUAACAGGGGUGCCAACCCUUGAUACUGAGGAGGGGGGUGGCUUAUAUAGAGUUCGCCAGGCCCCUCCAGCCCUCAGUAAUGCAAGGUUUAAAGUACAUUAAGAUUGGGGGUUACUGGUAACGCCCCUAAUAAAGUGCUAUGAUGACCAUAAAAGCUACUUAAUGACCAACCGUUUGCGUGCAGGGUGACUUUAGAUCUCUUGGCAGUCGAGUGGUUGGAAUUUGGUCGAGUGAUUGCUUCGUGGUCGAGUGUCUUGAAUCUGUCGAGUGGGAUACCUCCAAGUCGAUUGAAAGGUGACUUCUUCUAGGGAUGUCCUUGGGUAGGGUACUUAGGACAGGUCCAUGCCCCUAUCCUAGGUACAAAGCUUCAUCAUUAGCCCCCGAAUGGAUCGAGGUUCGAGUGGGGAAGGAGUUGGGGAUAUUUCCGACAGGUUCUUCAUGUUAUAUGAACGUCUUGUUUUGCAUCAAUUGUCAUGGACGACGUCGUCAACUUCUUUCAGUCGCCUUGAUCCAUUCUUGGCCUCUUGUCGAGUGAAUUUCUUUACUUGUGAAGUUCCGAGUGACGGUGUGAAAGGGAUCUUCUGUUUGACGAGUUGUCCUGCGGCCCGCGGAUUUUGCGGGAUUUGAAUUUCGGGAAGCGCGUGGGAUGGGGUCGGCCGCAGUAAUCGGAUAGGAUAGGACGGAAGCUCCUCGAUCCCUGCGCCACAUUUUUCGCCACGUACCGCGCGCGCGCCUGUUGCGGGAUUUGACGGGAUUGCCUGGGCCUACCAGUCAGCCACUCGGAAGCGACCUCUUAUAAGCUGCCGGCUCGGGACUCCCGAACAGUGCGCCUUCACUUUUCCCCCUUCCUUCACAACAUCCUCCGCCACCCUCGCUCCCACCUUGGUGCCGUAGUUCUAUUCGAGCUUCGCUGGCGACGAUGGUGAAGGAGAAGACGUCGGCUCUGGAGCGCGCGAAGAAGGCGGCGGUGCAGGGGAAGGGGAAGAAGUUCGCUCGGGGUGGAUCUUCCUCGAGGACUGCUCUGCCCAAGGAUUGGAUCCAGGGCGACUGGAUGCCGUCGGUGAUUCGGCAGGAUGAUCUCGAUGAUCUGGUCGAGGGGGGAUUCAUUCCCCACGAAUCUGCGCGCCUCCCGGGGAAAGAAGUCGAACCCCAGCCUCUUGAUGGCGAGUGCAUCCUCCUCACCACCCAUAUCGAUCGUGGAUUCUCUCUGCCUCCUCAUCCUUUUUUCCGGAGCUUCUUGAACUUCUUCGGAGCGCAGCUCCAUCACUUCACUCCCAAUUCUAUUGUGUAUCUUGCUGCUUUCGUUUCCUUGUGUGAAAACUUCUUGGGUUGCCGCCCCCAUUGGGGACUCUUCAAGCACAUCUUCACUUGCCGCUCUCAGUCGGUCAAGAAGGCCAAGUCGAGUGACGAACGGACGCAGGUGAUCCAGCUGUGUGGGGGCCUGGCGAUCCAGAUGAGGGGAAAAGUUCCUUUCCGUCUAUCACUUUUCCCGAGUCAGUCCGUGGGUGGCAGUCGACUUGGUUUUACUGUAAAUACCAGGUGACCCCAGGACAGUCGACUGGGCUUCCCCCUUUUUCUCUGAAUCAAGCACAAAAACCUGCCUCUCUGAAAGUGAUGCCGGAGGAAAAGGCGCAAGUCAAGGUGCUGGUUGGUCGAGUGGUUCAGCUUGUCUGCGAGGGUGUGACUGGCAUGGACUUGUUGGAAGUCUUCCUUCGGAGGCGCAUCCAACCGCUUCAGGCUCGUGACCACCCGAUGUGGCUGUACUCGGGUCUCGAAGACACCACUCGGAUUCACCCAGAGGAGGUCACUGAGGAGAUGUUGGAAGGGUGGCUGUCGAGUAUCACAAGGAACAAGGACAACCCCCGAGGAGCCAGGAGGAUUCCUCCACUCGACCAAACAUACGAAGUGGACAAGGUCUGACCUUGUGUUUCCGACUGUGAUCUUGCUUUCUUUAUUUGUUCUUUUUGGAUCAGUCGAUUGACUUUUGACUCGUUUGUUGUCCUCUAGGCCACUACUGAGAUGUACUCGACACCCAAUGGAGCACAGGAGCAGGCCGAGGAAGGAGAGGCGAGCGGAGGCGAAAGUGGAGACGAGGGAGAAGAGUGGGAAUCUGACGGCGAAGGAGAGGGGGAUGACGACGACGACUCCAGUGAAGAGGAGGAGGAAGAAGUCGAACCUCCCCGCUCGGAACGGCGAUCCAAGCUUACACACGACCUUGCGCGGGAACGUGGUAAGGCGACUGUCCCUGUUGGGCAGUCGUCGAAGCGCCCUCGGACCUCAUCUCCAGCGCCGACAGAAAAAGCUCCCGAGCACUCACGCGUGACGCCGUCCAAGCCGCCCAAGGCUCUGCCCAAGAUGAAGAUGACUGUCCCCACUAUUUCUGGGUAAUAGUAGAAUUUGUUUUCCUUUGUCGAACGUGGCAGACUCUUGGUCGACUCAUUGAAUAAGCUGACUGACUUUCGAAAUUUGCAGUGCUGCCACCUCGGAGAUCUCCGCCAAGGACGAUGAUCAAGAGAUGGAAGACACUGUUACCUCCAACCCCGGUACGAUUACUGAUGCUCUACUUUCAGUCGACUGACGAUUUCUUAUAAUUUCGGUCGAUUGGAUUUUUCUUGUAGCUCCUCCUCAUGUCAUUGACCUCCCUGAUGAUGACGACGAAGUGCCGCUGAGGGCGUGAAGGAAUAGGAGGGCGCCGGCUGGCAAGACCCCACAAACUACUCCGGCACCUGAGGCCGCAGUCCGGGAGGGUGGUGAUACCACUCGGGUUUCUGUGACCUUCGCUGAACCUCUGACGAGUGUCCGGCCUUUGACGUCGACUGCAAAUCCGCCUUUGCUUUUUGCCACACACCACGUCCCUGAGGACCAAGUGGGUGCCGCUAAAGAGGCUAUACGCCAGGCGGGGAUCAUGAUGGAGCAAGUGAAGGUGGUUCGGGAAGCCAGCCAAGCAGCUUAUGACGCGAGCUCAGCUCUUCAGAGCAACGUCCAGGUCAGUCGGUUCACCGCUUGUUCUGUUAGGAUAUGCUAUCUGAAGAACCUCUUUUCCGAAGAUCUUUAUAUCUGUACGCCCACUGGGUGUGUCUAUUAAUCUUUUUGACGAGUGGGGGCACGCUAAGUGCACCCAUUGGGUGUUGUCCCCGAGACUACGGUGGACUGCUGGCAGUCGACUGUAGUCUUUAUAUUGUGUUGCUUUAGCUGAACUUCUUCACUCGGUCUGGUCAGGCCUUGAUUUUUUUUGGUCGAACCAGUGGGGGCACGCUGAGUGCACCCACUGGGUGUAGUCCCCGAGACUGCUGUCGAAUGUUUUUUAUUCGACUGUAGUCUUAGAAACGCCAUCAUUGUCUCUUGGUUACUCGGAAGCAACUUAUCUUGGAUGUUUGUCAACUAAUUUUUUGCAGAAAUCCUGCGAACUUGUGGCUCGCUACACUGAGUUGGAUAACAAACAUAUCCAGAUGAACCUUGACUUGAAGCUUGCUCAGGAGAACUUGCAGAAGGCGAGGGACGAAGCAAAAGGUAUGGCUGGUGAGCUUUUGUCGACUGUCCUUUCUUUCUGGCCGUCCUCGAUGUUGAUAUCACUUGCUGUUUCGCAGACAAAAUGGAGGAGGCUCUGAAGAAGAAGGAUCAAGACCUUGCCGAAGCGCAGAAGGAGGCCCUGAACAAAAAGAAGCUUGCUGAAGAAAAACUGGCUUCAGUCGGUACUCUUGAAAAGGAAAACUCCAGGCUGAAAACUGCUCUCGACGCGGCUAAUCGAGAUGUCAGCCGUCUGAAGAAUGGCAAUAUAGCUCUGAAUGACAAGGCAAGUGAACUAGCGGGGAAGAGGAACGAUCUGGAGGCUUAUCUCGGUGGACUUGCCAAGAAGCUGUUCGUCAUGCUCGAGGGUAAUUACUCCGGCCCGACUGACUUGCAGUUACCAAAUCUGCGUAGAGCCACUGACUUAUCCUUGAAUUGUGUUUACAGAAUUCUGCCAGAACUUCGAAGAGGAGACCAGUCGAGUGGAGACAGACUUGGACCCCAUCAAUUCUCCAGUGAAGGACGAGGUUGCUAUGAACGUGCUCCGACUGGAAUCUCGUGUUGCCGGCAUUGUUGACUAUCUUGCUCGGUUGAAGGUUGUGAUGUCACGGAUCGACACGUCGCUCUGGCCUAGGACGACGCUUCAGAAUGACCUCGAGUCCCUGAUGACUCGACUGAAUGAAGUCCCAGGUCGAGUGGCGGAAUGGAAGAAAUCUUCUGCUAGAUGUGGCGCUGUCAUCGCUCUGUCUCUGGUCCGCGUCCACUGCAAGGAGGCGUUAGAAGAAAAGUUGGCCGCCAUCCAAGUUGCCAAUACCAGGAAGCACAACUUUCAAGACUUCAUGGAGACUUUCAUUGCUGCUGCCACUCGCAUUGCAGACGGGAUCGACUUGGACGAGUUCGUCGCUCCUUCCAGUACUCCGCAUGAGGAAUAAAAACUUUUAUGCUUCACUUUAAAUUUUCCUCGGAAUGCCGAGUGGAUUUUGUAACCGUUAAACUCUGUCGAGCUGGAGGCUCGAGUACUUUGAUCUACGGUCUAGAACCUUUGGAUCUUAUCUGAACUUGAUUUAUCGUUGAAUAUCUUCAUGAAUUAUCUGUCGAGUGGAACUUGUUCUUCACUCGAAAUAACUUUGUAUUUGUGGUGCAACUCCGAAGGAGAAGGUAGCAGUCGAUUUGCACCUCGUCGUCCUUGCGGAUUGGGAUGUGUUCCAUACUUAGGCGAGCACUGGGCUGCAGCUAAGCCUCCGAGUGGAAGGUUUGCCCUCCACUCGAUAGGAUUUUAAAAACUUAGGCGAGUACUGGACUGCAGCUAAGCCCCCGAGUGGGAGGUCUGCUCUCCACUCGGUAGAAUUUUUUCAAACUUAGGCGAGUACUGGACUGCAGCUAAGCCCCCGAGUGUGAGGUCUGCUCUCCACUCAGUAGGAUUUUUUCAAACUUAGGCGAGUACUGGACUGCAGCUAAGCCCCCGAGUGGGAGGUCUGCUCUCCACUCGGUAGGAUUNNNNNNNNNNNNNNNNNNNNNNNNNNNNNNNNNNNNNNNNNNNNNNNNNNNNNNNNNNNNNNNNNNNNNNNAGUGGGAGGUUUGCUCUCCACUCGGUAGGAUUUUUAAACACUUAGGCGAGCACUGGGCUGCAGCUAAGCCUCCGAGUGGGAGUCUGGCUCACCACUCGGUAGGGUUUUUAAACACUUAGGCGAGCACUGGUCUGCAGCUAAGCCUCCGAGUGGGAGGUUUGCUCUCCACUCGGUAGGAUUUUUAAACACUUAGGCGAGCACUGGGCUGCAGCUAAGCCUCCGAGUGGGAGUCUGGCUCACCACUCGGUAGGAUUUUUAAACACUUAAGAGAGCAUUGGGCUGCAGCUAAGCCUCCGAGUGGGAGUCUGGCUCACCACUCGGUAGGGUUUUUAAACACUUAGGCGAGCACUGGGCUGCAGCUAAGCCUCCGAGUGGGAGGUUUGCUCUCCACUCGGUAGGAUUUUUAAACACUUAGGCGAGCACUAGGCUGCAGCUAAGCCUCCGAGUGGGAGGUUUGCUCUCCACUCGGUAGGAUUUUUAAACACUUAGGCGAGCACUGGGCUGCAGCUAAGCCUCCGAGUGGGAGUCUGGCUCACCACUCGGUAGGGUUUUUAAACACUUAGGCGAGCACUGGGCUGCAGCUAAGCCUCCGAGUGGGAGGUUUGCUCUCCACUCGGUAGGAUUUUUAAACACUUAGGCGAGCACUGGGCUGCAGCUAAGCCUCCGAGUGGGAGGUUUGCUCUCCACUCGGUAGGAUUUUUAAACACUUAGGCGAGCACUGAGCUGCAGCUAAGCCUCCGAGUGGGAGGUUUGCUCUCCACUCGGUAGGAUUUUUAAACACUUAGGCAAGCACUGGGCUGCACCUAAGCCUCCGAGUGGGAGUCUGGCUCGCCACUCGGUAGGAUUUUUAAACACUUAGGCGAGCACUGGGCUGCAGCUAAGCCUUCGAGUGGGAGUCUGGCUCGCCACUCGGUAGGAUUUUUAAACACUUAGGCGAGCACUGAGCUGCAGCUAAGCCUCCGAGUGGGAGUCUGGCUCACCACUCGGUAGGAUUUUUUUUUUACAAACUUAGGCGAAACGGAUUCGCAGCUAAGCCACCCACUGGGGUAUUUCACACGCAGACAAAAGCAACAACAAUUAUAGGAAAAUUUGUAACACUCUUGUCUUUGAUAAAUAGACUACAGAAGUUUUUCUUAUUACAUCUCAUCCGAGUGAGAAUUCAAGUGUGAAAGGGGCGGAGCAGUUCUGCAUUCCAAGCUCGUGGCUCAUCGAUCUGGCAAUCGACAUUGUAAAGGUGAUACACUCCAUUGUGGAGGACUCUGGUGACGAUGAAGGGACCUUCCCAAGUAGGAGCGAGCUUGUGUGGUUUCUGUUGAUCCACUCGGAGGACCAAAUCUCCUUCUUGGAAGGCUCGACUCUUCACAUUUCUGGCAUGGAAUCGACGCAAGUCUUGCUGAUAAAUGGUCGAUCGGAUCAUAGCCAUUUCUCUUUCUUCUUCCAAGAGGUCGACUGGGUCUUGCCGGGCUUGUUCUGCUUCAUCUUCAGUAUAAAGCUCGACUCGGGGUGCAUUGUGAAGUAGAUCACUCGGCAGGACUGCUUCCGCUCCGUAAACCAGAAAGAACGGAGUUCUUCCAGUCAACCGAUUCGGGGUAGUCCUCAAUCCCCACAGAACCGACGGAAGCUCGUCGACCCAAGCGCCUGCUGCGUGCUUGAGAUCACGCAUCAGCCGAGGCUUUAGUCCUUUGAGAAUCAGACCAUUUGCCCUUUCUGCUUGUCCAUUCGACUGGUGGUGGGCGACCGAUGCGUAGUCGACUCGUGUGCCUUGAGAGGCGCAAAAAGCUCUGAACUUUUCUGAAUCAAAGUUUGACCCAUUAUCGGUGAUGAUGCUAUGCGGGACUCCAUAUUUGAAUGUUAACUCUCUGACGAAACUGAUAGCAGUGCAAGCAUCAAGAUUCUUGAUAGGCUUAGCUUCAAUCCAUUUGGUAAACUUGUCGGCUGCCACAAGCACAUGUGUGAAACCGCUCCUGCCUGUUCUCAAUGGGCCAACCAUGUCCAGUCCCCAAACAGCGAAGGGCCAGACGAGUGGAAUGGUCUUCAGGGCUGAUGCAAGCUUGUGCGACAUGUUGGAGUAGAACUGGCACCCUUCACACUUGUCGACUAUCUCUUUUGCCAUUUCAUUCGCUCUUGGCCAGUAAAAUCCCGCUCGGUAUGCUUUAGCCACAAUGGUCCGAGAGGACGUAUGAUGACCACAGGUCCCCGAGUGGAUAUCAUCAAGGAUUAUCUGACCUUCUUCUGGUGUUAUACACUUCUGACCGACUCCAGUCGCGCUUUCUCUAUACAACUGUCCCUUUAUGACUGUAAAGGCCUUGGAUCGACGGACGAUCUGUCGAGCCUCUUCUUCGUCCUCCGGGAGUUCCUUUCUCAGGAUAUACGCGAUGUACGGUAUCGUCCAGUCAGGGGUGAUUGCCAAAACUUCCAUGAUUAGGUCGACCACUGCCGGAAUUUCAACUUCAGUCGGAUCUGUGGCACUCUUUGGCUGCGGGGCUUCAUCUGUAAAAGGAUCUUCUUGGACUGAUGGCGAGUGGAUGUGUUCCAAAAACACAUUGCUGGGGAUGGCUUCUCUCUUGGAGCCUAUCUUUGCCAAAUCAUCAGCCGCUUGAUUUUUCAGUCGGGGGAUGUGAUGAAGCUCUAACCCCUCGAAUUUCUUCUCUAACUUUCUCAUUGCAUUGCAAUAACCAGUCAUAACUGGACUUCUGACAUCCCAUUCUUUCAUCACCUGAUUAACCACCAAAUCUGAGUCGCCAUAGACCAUGAGGCGACGGACGCCGAGUGAAAUGGCCAUGCGCAACCCAUACAAAAGUGCUUCAUAUUCUGCUUCGUUAUUGGAGGAAUCGAAGUGAAUCUGGAGAACAUAUCUGAGCUUAUCUCCUCGGGGGGAAACCAAUACUACCCCAGCACCGGAACCAUUCAGCAUCUUAGAUCCAUCGAAGAACAUGGUCCAGUGUGUUGGGGAACGUAGCAGAAAUUCAAAAAUUUUCCUACGCAACACCAAGAUCUAUCUAUGGAGAGACCAGCAACGAGUAGAAAGGGGAGUGCAUCUACAUACCCUUGUAGAUCGCUAAGCGGAAGCGUUCAAGUGAACGGGGUUGAUGGAGUCGUACUCGUCGUGAUUCAGAUCACCGAUGACCAAGUGCCGAACGGACGGCACCUCCGCGUUCGACACACGUACAGCCCGGUGACGUCUCCCACGCCUUGAUCCAGCAAGGAGAGAAGGAGAGGUUGAGGAAGACUCCAUCCAACAGCAGCACAACGGCGUGGUGGUGAUGGAGGAGCGUGGCAAUCCUGCAGGGCUUCGCCGAGCACCUACGGGAGAGGAGAUGUGUCACGGGAGGGAGAGGGAGGCAACCAAAGGCCUUAGGUCUGAUUGCUCCUCCUUUUCCCCACUAUAUAUAGGGCCAAGGGAGAGGGGGAGGGCGCAGCCUUGCCCCCUCCUCCAAGGAAGGGGUGCGGCUAAGGAUGGGGAGGAGUCCAUCCUCCCCAAGGCACCUCGGAGGUGCCUUCCCCCUUUAGGACUCUUCCCUCUCCAAGUUUCCUUGCGCAUGGGCCUCUUGGGGCUGGUGCCCUUGGCCCAUGUAGGCCAAGGCGCACCCCCUACAGCCCAUGUUGCCCCCCGGGGCAGGUGGCCCCACCCGGUGGGCCCCCGGGACCCUUCCGGUGGUCCCGGUACAAUACCGAUGACCCCGAAACUUGUCCCGAUGGCCGAAACAGGACUUCCUAUAUAUAAAUCUUUACCUCCGGACCAUUCCGGAGCUCCUCGUGACAUCCGGGAUCUCAUCCGGGACUCCGAACAACAUUCGGUAACCACAUACAAGCUUCCUUUAUAACCCUAGCGUCAUCGAACCUUAAGUGUGUAGACCCUACGGGUUCGGGAGACAUGCAGACAUGACCGAGAUGUUCUCCAGUCAAUAACCAACAGCGGGAUCUGGAUACCCAUGAUGGCUCCCACAUGUUCCACGAUGAUCUCAUCGGAUGAACCACGAUGUCAAGGACUUAAUCAAUCCCGUAUUCAAUUCCCUUUGUCUAGCGGUAUUUUACUUGCCCGGGAUUCGAUCGUCGGUAUACCGAUACCUUGUUCAAUCUCGUUACCGGCAAGUCACUUUACUCGUUCCAUAACACAUCAUCCCGUGAUCAACUCCUUGGUCACAUUGCGCAUAUGAUGAUGUCCUACCGAGUGGGCCCAGAGAUACCUCUCCGUUUACACGGAGUGACAAAUCCCAGUCUCGAUCCGCAUAAAACAAUAGAUACUUUCGGAGAUACCUGUAGUGCACCUUUAUAGUCACCCAGUUACGUUGUGACGUUUGAUACACCCAAAGCACUCCUACGGUAUCCAGGAGUUACACGAUCUCAUGGUCAAAGGAAGAGAUACUUGACAUUGGCAAAGCUCUAGCAAACGAACUACACGAUCUUUGUGCUAGUCUUAGGAUUGGGUCUUGUCCAUCACAUCAUUCUCCUAAUGAUGUGAUCCCGUUAUCAACGACAUCCAAUGUCCAUAGCCAGGAAACCGUGACCAUCUAUUGAUCAACGAGCUAGUCAACUAGAGGCUUACUAGGGACAUAUUGUGGUCUAUGUAUUCACACGUGUAUUACAAUUUCCGGAUAAUACAGUUAUAGCAUGAAUAAAAGACAAUUAUCAUGAACAAGGAAAUAUAAUAAUAAUACUUUUAUUAUUGCCUCUAGGGCAUAUUUCCAACACCUUGUUCAUUCCGAUACAAUCCUACUCUCUCGCUCCCGCUCUCAGUUAUUGCAUUAGGACAACAACGGUUCAUCUGCUACUUUGUGCUGCGGUAGUUGAACCCAUUCCUCUGCAUGACCUGUCAUUGCCACAGUAAAUAGUUGAAACCCACUAGCAUGUGUAGGAGUUGAUUGAAGCCACUGAUGUGUUCCUACCAUGCUAUGCCUGCUAUUGCUUAGAGUUGUGUCAGGUCUGAUUCAUUGGGAAUGAAUUGGAGUGUUACGAUAUGUUCUGAUGCUGAGAAUGAAGUGUGUGUGAACACGAUUUGGUAAAGGUAGCGGUGAGAGGCCAUGUAGGAGUACAUGGUGGGUUGUCUCACUGGAACCGUCCUUAAGCACUGAGUUCUAUGUAUGUUGUCCAAUGACUCGAUACUACCACACAUUGGGUUCCGGUAACUCGACCCCUCUCGACUUAUUAACCAACUUGGUCUCUGUCCAGGAGUCGCAACUAGUUUCUGGUGUUUGUAGGUAGUGUUAGUAGUCUACCAAGUGGCACCCGGCCAGGUGGGCUUGGGACAGACUAGGCACCAGUGGCACGGUGUACCAAGCGUAGAUCCAUCCGGUGAGGUGGGCUUGGGAACCCUGCACACAUCGUUUGGGGCCGUGAGUGAAACCCCGGCCGGAUCUCCUUGCGGAUGGAACCCGAAUAGGCGAUAAACCUGGAUUAGAGUCUUGUGUGGUUAGUCAGGUCGUGGCCGACACCCUCGCCAGGCUUCCGCUUGAAGGUUGCCGAGAUACAUGACGUGUACAUGGCGGUAAGUGGCGAGAGCGUGUGUGAAGAAGUACACCCCUGCAGGGUUAACAUGAUCUAUUCGAAUAGCCGGGUCCGCGGUUAUGGACUUCUUGGAUGCUUACAGGGUACAUAGACAACUUGAAGUGGAUACCCUAAAAUGCUCAAGACAAGUGUGAGUGCUAUGGAUGGCCUUCUCGUAGGGAGACGGGGAUGAAUCCAUAGUAGUGUAUUGUGUGGUGAUUAGUGGACUCGUGUACGUUGUUUCACCUCCAGAGUUUCUGGUAGUCGUAGAAUAGGAUAGCCACAGAGUCAAAGCUGGCUUGCUGCAACUAAACCCCACAUUACCCUCUUGAUACAAAUGCAUGUACGAUAGGAUCUGAUGUAAGUCUUGCUGAGUACCUUUGUACUCAUGUUGCUUUAUUUAUGUUUUUGCAGCUGAGACUUCGGUCUUACUAGUGUUCUCGUGGACUUCCCCCUUUAGGACUCUCCCUUUUUUUCCUUCUCUUGGUGCAUGGGCCUCUUGGGGCUGGUGCCCUUGGCCCAUGUAGGCCAAGGCGCACCCCCUACAGCCCAUGUGGCCCCCCGGGGCAGGUGGCCCCACCCGGUGGGCCCCCGGGACCCUUCCGGUGGUCCCGGUACAAUACCGAUGACCCCGAAACUUGUCCCGAUGGCCGAAACAGGACUUCCUAUAUAUAAAUCUUUACCUCCGGACCAUUCCGGAACUCCUCGUGACGUCCGGGAUCUCAUCCGGGACUCCGAACAACAUUCGGUAACCACAUACAAGCUUCCUUUAUAACCCUAGCGUCAUCGAACCUUAAGUGUGUAGACCCUACGGGUUCGGGAGACAUGCAGACAUGACCGAGAUGUUCUCCGGUCAAUAACCAACAGCGGGAUCUGGAUACCCAUGAUGGCUCCCACAUGUUCCACGAUGAUCUCAUCGGAUGAACCACGAUGUCAAGGACUCAAUCGAUCCCGUAUUCAAUUCCCUUUGUCUAUCGGUAUGUUACUUGCCCGAGAUUCGAUCGUCGGUAUACCGAUACCUUGUUCAAUCUCGUUACCGGCAAGUCUCUUUACUCGUUCCGUAACACAUCAUCCCGUGAUCAACUCCUUGGUCACAUUUGCGCAAAUGAUGAUGUCCUACCGAGUGGGCCCAGAGAUACCUCUCCGUUUACACGGAGUGACAAAUUCCAGUCUCGAUCCGCAUAAAACAAUAGAUACUUUCGGAGAUACCUGUAGUGCACCUUUAUAGUCACCCAGUUACGUUGUGACCUUUGAUACACCCAAAGCACUCCUACGGUAUCCAGGAGUUACACGAUCUCAUGGUCAAAGGAAGAGAUACUUGACAUUGGCAAAGCUCUAGCAAACGAACUACACGAUCUUUGUGCUAGUCUUAGGAUUGGGUCUUGUCCAUCACAUCAUUCUCCUAAUGAUGUGAUCCCGUUAUCAACGACAUCCAAUGUCCAUAGCCAGGAAACCGUGACCAUCUAUUGAUCAACGAGCUAGUCAACUAGAGGCUUACUAGGGACAUAUUGUGGUCUAUGUAUUCACACGUGUAUUACGAUUUCCGGAUAAUACAGUUAUAGCAUGAAUAAAAGACAAUUAUCAUGAACAAGGAAAUAUAAUAAUAAUACUUUUAUUAUUGCCUCUAGGGCAUAUUUCCAACAGUCUCCCACUUGCACUAGAGUCAAUAAUCUAGUUCACAUCGCCAUGUGAUUAACACUCACAGGUCACAUUGCCAUGUGACUAAUACCCAAGAGUUUACUAGAGUCAGUAGUCUAGUUCACAUCACUAUGUGAUUAACACUCAAUGAGUUUUAUGUUUGAUCAUGUUGCUUGUGAGAGAGGUUUUAGUCAAUGGGUCUGAACCUUUCAGAUCCGUGUGUGCUUUACAAAUCUUUAUGUCAUCUCCUAGAUGCAGCUACCACGCUCUAUUUGGAGCUAUUCCAAAUAACUGUUCUACUUGCAACUAUUCUAAAUUGUUGCCCCAUUGUACGUAUCCGGUAUCUCUACUUAGAGCUAUCCGGAUAGGUGUUAAGCUUGCAUCGUCGUAACCUUUACGACGAACUCUUUUACCACCUCCAUAAUCGAGAAAAUUCCUUAGUCCACUAGUUACUAAGGAUAACUUUGACCGCUGUCCUGUGAGCCAUUCUUGGAUCACUCUUGUACCCCUUGACUGACUCAUGGCAAGGCACACUUUCGGUGCGGUACACAGCACGGCAUACUGUAGAGCCUAUGUCUUAAGCAUAGGGGACGACCUUCGUUCCUUUCUCUCUAUUCUGCCAUGGUCGAGCUUUAAGUCUUAACUUCAUACCUUACAACUUAGGCAAGAACUCCUUCUUUGACUGAUCCAUCUUGAACACCUUCAAGAUCACGUCAAGGCAUGUGUUCAUUUGAAAGUACUAUUAAGCGUUUUGAUCUAUCCUUAUAGAUCUUGAUGCUCAAUGUUCAAGUAGCUUAAUCCAGGUUUUCCAUUCAAAACACUUUCCAAAUAACCCUAUAUGCUUUCUAGAAAUUCUAUAUCAUUUCUGAUCAACAUAUACUCAUCAGAAAUUCUAUAGUGCUCCCACUCACUUCUUUGGAAAUACAAGUUUCUCAUAAACUUUGUACAAACCCAAAAUCUUUGAUCAUCAUCAAAGCAUUCAUUCCAACUCCGAGAUGCUCACUCCAGUCCUUAAAAGGAUCUCUGGAGCUAGCAUACCUUUUAGCAUCCUUAGGAUCGACAAAACUUUUCUGAUUGUAUUGCAUACAACCUUUCCUUACGAAAACUAGUAAGGAAACUUGUCUUGACAUCCAUCUGCCAGAUUUCAUAAAUGCAGCUAAUGCUAACAUGAUUCCGACGGACUUUAAGCAUCGCUACGGAUGAGAAAAACUCAUCGUAGUCAACUCCUUGAACUUGUGAGAAACUUUUCGCCACAAGUCGAGCUUCAUGGAUGGUGACAUUACCAUCCGUGUCCGUCUUCUUCUUAAAAGAUCCAUUUAUCUCAAUGGAUUGCCGAUCAUCGGGCAAGUCCAUCAAAGUCCAUGCUUUGUUUUGAUAUAUGGAUACUAUCUCGGAUUUCAUGGCUUCUAACCAUUUGUCGGAAUUCGGGCCCACCAUCGCUUCUCCAUAGCUCGUAGGGUCAUUGUUGUCUAGCAACAUGACCUUCAAGACAUGAUCACCUUACCACUCUGAAGUAGUACGUGUCCUUGUCGUCCUACGAGGUUUGGUAGUGACUUGAUCCGAAGUUUUAUGAUCAAUAUCAUAAGCUUCCACUUCAAUUGGUGUAGGUGCCACAGGAACAACUUCCUGUGCCCUGCCACACACUAGUUGAAGAGACGGUUCAAUAAGCUCAUCAAGUCUCCACCAUCCUCCCACUCAACUCUUUCGAGAGAAACUUUUCCUCGAGAAAGGACCCGAUUCUAGAAACAAUCCCUUAUUGCUUUCGAAUCUGAGACAGGAGGUAUACCCAACUGUUUUGGGUGUCCUAUGAAGAUGCAUUUAUCCGCUUUGGGUUUGAGCUUAUCAGCCUAAAACUUUUUCACAUAAGCGUCGCAGCCCCAAACUUUUAAGAAACGACAACUUAGGUUUCUCUAAACCAUAAUUCAUACGGUGUCAUCUCAACGGAAUUACGCGGUGCCCUAUUAAAGUGAAUGUGGUUGUCUCUAAUGCCUAACCCAUGAACGAUAGUGGUAAUUCGAUAAGAGAAAUCAUGGUACGCAUCAUAUCCAAUAGGGUGCAACUAUGAUGUUCGGACACACCAUCACACUAUGGUGUUCCAGGCGGUAUUAAUUGCGAAACAAUUUCCACAAUGUCUUAAUUGUGUGCCAAAACUCGUAACUCAGAUAUUCAUCUCUAUGAUCAUAUCAUAGACAUUUUAUCCUCUUGUCACAAUGAUCUUCUACUUCACUCUGAAAUUAUUUGAACCAUUCAAUAAUUCAGACUUGUGUUUCAUCAAGUAAAUAUUCUCAACAUCUACUCGAAUCAUCUGUGAAGUAAGAACAUAACGAUGUUCACUGCAUGCCUCAGCACUCAUUGGACUGCACACAUCAAAAUGUGUUACUUCCAACGAGUUGCUAUCUUGUUCCAUCUUACUGAAACCGAGGCUUUUCAGUCAUCUUGCCUAUGUGGUAUGAUUUGCAUAUCUCAAGUGAUUCAAAAUCAAGUGAGUCUAAACGAUCCAUCUGCAUGGAGUUUCUUCAUGCAUAUACACCAAUAGACAUGGUUCGCAUGUCUCAAACUUUUCAAAACGAGUGAGUCCAAAGAUCCAUCAACAUGGAGCUUCUUCAUGCGUUUUAUACCAUUAUGACUUACAUGGCAGUGCCACAAGUAAGUGGUACUAUCAUUACUAUCUUUUGGCAUGAACAUGUGUAUCACUACGAUCGAGAUUCAAUAAACCAUUCAUUUCAGGUGUAAGACCAUUGAAGGUAUUAUUCAAAUAAACAGAGUAACCAUUAUUCUCCUUAAAUGAAUAACCGUAUUUCGAUAGACAUAAUCCAAUCAUGUCUAUGCUCACCGCAAACACCAAUCUCGAUUGUAGAGGGAGCGUACGAUAUUUGAUCAACCUUGGAAAUACUUCCAACACAUAUCAUCAUCUCACCUUUAGCUAGUCUCUGUUUAUUCCAUAGCUUUUAUUUCGAGUUACUAACACUUAGCAACUGAACCGGUAUCUAAUACCCUGGUGCUACUAGGAGUACUAGUAAAGUACACAUUAACAUAAUGUAUAUCCAAUAUACUUCUAUCGACCUUGCCAGCCUUCUCAUCUACCAAGUAUCUAGGGUAAUCUUGCUCCAGUGGUUGUUCCCCUUAUCACAGAAGCACUUAGUCUCGGGUUUGGGUUCAACCUCGGGUUUCUUCACUGGUGCAGCAGCUAAUUUGCCGUUUCAUGAAGUAUCCCUUCUUGCCCUUGCCCUUCUUGAAACUAGUGGUUUCACCAACCAUCAACAAUUGAUGCUCCUUCUUGAUUUCUACUUUCGCGAUGUCAAACAACGCGAAUACCUCAAGGAUCAUCAUCUCUAUCCUUGAUAUGUUAUAGUUCAUCACGAAGCUCUAGCAGCUUGGUGGCAAUGACUUUGGGGAAACAUCACUAUCUCAUCUGGAAGAUCAACUCCCACUCGAUUCAAGUGAUUGUUGCACUCAGACAAUCUGAGCACAAGCUCAACGAUUGAGCUUUUCUCCCUUAGUUUGCAGGCUAAGAAAAUCGUCGGAGGUCUUAUACCUCUUGACGUGGGCACGAGCCUGAAAUCCCAAUUUCAGCCCUCAAAACAUCUCAUAUGUUUCGCGAUGUUUCAAAAACAUCUUUGGUGCCUUUACAACUCUAAACCGUUUAACUGAACUAUCACGUAGUUAUCAAAACGUGUAUGUUCGAUGUUCGAAACAUCCACAAACGACGUUUGGGGUUCAGCACAUUGAGCAGUGCAUUAAGGACAUAAGCUUUCUACUGUCCACAUAAUCGCUACUUUCAACUUUCAACUAUAAUUUUCUCUAGGAACAUAUCUAAACAGUAGAACUAUAGCGCGAGCUACGACAUAAUUUGCAAAGGGUCUUUUGACUAUGUUCAAGAUAAUUAAGUUCAUCUUAUGAACUCCCACUCAGAUAGACAUCCCUCUAGUCAUCUAAGUGAUUACAUGAUCCGAGUCAAACUAGGCCGUGUCCGAUCAUCACGUGAGACGGACUAGUCAUCAUCGGUGAACAUCUUCAUGUUGAUCGUAUCUACUAUACGACUCAUGCUCGACCUUUCGGUCUCUGUGUUCCGAGGCCAUGUCUGUACAUGCUAGGCUCGUCAAGUUAACCCUAAGUGUUUUCGCUGUGUAAAACUGUCUUACACCCGUUGUAUGUGAACGUAAGAAUCUAUCACACCCGAUCAUCACGUGGUGCUUCGAAAACGACGAACUGUAGCAACGGUGCACAGUUAGGGGAGAACACUUCUUGAAUUUUAAUGAGGGAUCAUCUUAUUUACUACCGUCGUUCUAAGCAAACAAGAUGCAUAAACAUGAUAAACAUCACAUGCAAUCAAAUAGUGACAUGAUAUGGCCAAUAUCAUUUUUUUUGCUCCUUUUGAUCUCCAUCUUCGGGGCUCCAUGAUCAUCUUGUCACCGACAUGACACCAUGAUCUCCAUCAUCAUGAUCUCCAUCAUCGUGUCUUCAUGAAGUUGUCACGCCAACGACUACUUCUACUUCUAUGACUAACGCGUUUAGCAAUAAAGUAAAGUAGUUUACAUGGCGUUCUUCAAUGACACGCAGGUCAUACAAAAAAUAAAGACAACUCCUAUGGCUCCUGCCAGUUGUCAUACUCAUCGACAUGCAAGUCGUGAAUCCUAUUACAAGAACAUGAUCAAUCUCAUACAUCACAUAUAUCAUUCAUCACAUCCUUUGGCCAUAUCACAUCACAUAGCAUACCCUGCAAAAACAAGUUAGACGUCCUCUAAUUGUUGUUGCAUGUUUUACGUGGCUGCUAUGGGUUUCUAGCAAGAACGUUUCUUACCUACGCAUGAACCACAACGUGAUAUGCCAAUUGCUAUUUACCCUUCAUAAGGACCCUUUUCAUCGAAUCCGUUCCGACUAAAGUAGGAGAGACAGACACCCGCUAGCCACCUUAUGCAUCUAGUGCAUGUCAGUCGGUGGAACCUGUCUCACGUAAGAGUACGUGUAAGGUCGGUCCGGGCCGCUUCAUCCCACAAUACCGUCGAAACAAGAUUGGACUAGUAACGGUAAGCAUAUUGAACAACAUCAACGCCCACAACUACUUUGUGUUCUACUCGUGCAAAGAAUCUACGCAAUAGACCUAGCUCAUGAUGCCACUGUUGGGGAACGUAGCAGAAAUUCAAAAAUUUUCCUACGCAACACCAAGAUCUAUCUAUGGAGAGACCAGCAACGAGUAGAAAGGGGAGUGCAUCUACAUACCCUUGUAGAUUGCUAAGCGGAAGCGUUCAAGUGAACGGGGUUGAUGGAGUCGUACUCGUCGUGAUUCAGAUCACCGAUGACCAAGUGCCGAACGGACGGCACCUCCGCGUUCAACACACGUACAGCCCGGUGACGUCUCCCACGCCUUGAUCCAGCAAGGAGAGAAGGAGAGGUUGAGGAAGACUCCAUCCAACAGCAGCACAACGGCGUGGUGGUGAUGGAGGAGCGUGGCAAUCCUGCAGGGCUUCGCCGAGCACCUACGGGAGAGGAGAUGUGUCACGGGAGGGAGAGGGAGGCAACCAAAGGCCUUAGGUCUGAUUGCUCCUCCUUUUCCCCACUAUAUAUAGGGCCAAGGGAGAGGGGGAGGGCGCAGCCUUGCCCCCUCCUCCAAGGAAGGGGUGCGGCUAAGGAUGGGGAGGAGUCCAUCCUCCCCAAGGCACCUCGGAGGUGCCUUCCCCCUUUAGGACUCUUCCCUCUCCAAGUUUCCUUGCGCAUGGGCCUCUUGGGGCUGGUGCCCUUGGCCCAUGUAGGCCAAGGCGCACCCCCUACAGCCCAUGUUGCCCCCCGGGGCAGGUGGCCCCACCCGGUGGGCCCCCGGGACCCUUCCGGUGGUCCCGGUACAAUACCGAUGACCCCGAAACUUGUCCCGAUGGCCGAAACAGGACUUCCUAUAUAUAAAUCUUUACCUCCGGACCAUUCCGGAACUCCUCGUGACGUCCGGGAUCUCAUCCGGGACUCCGAACAACAUUCGGUUACCACAUGCAAGCUUCCUUUAUAACCCUAGCGUCAUCGAACCUUAAGUGUGUAGACCCUACGGGUUCGGGAGACAUGCAGACAUGACCGAGACGUUCUCCGGUCAAUAACCAACAGCGGGAUCUGGAUACCCAUGUUGGCUCCCACAUGUUCCACGAUGAUCUCAUCGGAUGAACCACGAUGUCAAGGACUUAAUCAAUCCCGUAUUCAAUUCCCUUUGUCUAUCGGUAUGUUACUUGCCCGAGAUUCGAUCGUCGGUAUCCAAUACCUUGUUCAAUCUCGUUACCGACAAGUCACUUUACUCGUUCCGUAACACAUCAUCCCGUGAUCAACUCCUUGGUCACAUUGCGCAUAUGAUGAUGUCCUACCGAGUGGGCCCAGAGAUACCUCUCCGUUUACACGGAGUGACAAAUCCCAGUCUCGAUCCGCAUAAAACAAUAGAUACUUUCGGAGAUACCCGUAGUGCACCUUUAUAGUCACCCAGUUACGUUGUGACGUUUGAUACACCCAAAGCACUCCUACGGUAUCCAGGAGUUACACGAUCUCAUGGUCAAAGGAAGAGAUACUUGACAUUGGCAAAGCUCUAGCAAACGAACUACACGAUCUUUGUGCUAGUCUUAGGAUUGGGUCUUGUCCAUCACAUCAUUCUCCUAAUGAUGUGAUCCCGUUAUCAACGACAUCCAAUGUCCAUAGCCAGGAAACCGUGACCAUCUAUUGAUCAACGAGCUAGUCAACUAGAGGCUUACUAGGGACAUAUUGUGGUCUAUGUAUUCACACGUGUAUUACGAUUUCCGGAUAAUACAGUUAUAGCAUGAAUAAAAGACAAUUAUCAUGAACAAGGAAAUAUAAUAAUAAUACUUUUAUUAUUGCCUCUAGGGCAUAUUUCCAACACAGUGCUCCGAGUGAACUUGAGUCGGAAGUUGUUGUUCGAUCCACUCGGCGACAAAAUCUGCAAUUGCUUGGGACUUGAUAGCUUUCUUUGCCUCAAACUUGAUAUCUAGGGGAAGAAGUUCAAUCGCCCAUUUGGCCACUCGACCAGUUGCAUCUCUGUUGUGCAAAAUCUCUGAUAGUGGAGCGUCGCUGACGACUGUAAUGGGAUGAUCAGAGAAGUAAUGUGCAACCUUCUUCGUGGUCAUAUAAAUCCCAUAUACAAGCUUCUGGUAAUGAGGAUAUCUUUGCUUUGAAGGAGUCAAAACUUCAGAAACAUAAUAUACUGGGCGCUGAACUUUGAAGGCCUUUCCUUCUUCUUCCCGCUCGGCCGUAAGUACUGUACUGACAACUUGUCCUGUGGCUGCAAUGUAAAUCAGCAAAGGCUCCUUGCUGAUUGGGGCAGCAAGCACCGGCUGGGUGGAGAGCAAAGCUUUGAGCUCUGUAAACGCUACAUCAGCUUCUGGAGUCCACUCAAACUUGUCGGACUUCUUCAUCAGUCGGUAAAGAGGCAAUGCCUUUUCACCGAGGCGAGAGAUGAAUCGACUAAAGCGGCCAAGCAUCCUGUAAGCUUCUGGACGUCAUGCACACGCACAGGACGUUUCAUCUGGAGUAUAGUACCAAUUUUUUCAGGAUUGGCGUCGAUUCCCCGUUCGGAAACGAGAAAACCGAGUAACUUCCCACCUGGAACUCCGAACGUGCACUUUGACGGAUUGAGCUUGAUAUCAUACCUCCUGAGGUUGGCAAAGGUUUCAGCAAGGUCAGUCAGCAGGUCGGAACCCUUCCAUGACUUGACCACAAUAUCAUCCAUGUAUGCCUCCACAUUCUGACUGAUUUGAGUGAGCAAACACUUCUGAAUCAUCCUCAUGAACGUGGCUCUGGCAUUCUUGAGGCCGAACGGCAUGGUGACAUAACAGAAGCACCCGAAUGGAGUGAUGAAAGCUGUUUUGAUCUCGUCGGGCCCGUACAAACGGAUCUGAUGGUACCCAGAAUAGGGGUCUAGGAAAGACAAAUGCUCACAUCCCGCAGCCGAAUCAACUAUCUGGUCAAUGCGGGGGAGAGGAAAAUGAUCUUUCGGGCAGGCCCGAUUGAUAUGCUUGAAAUCAAUGCACAUGCGAAGUGACUUGUCCUUCUUGGGGACCAUGACAACAUUGGGGAGCCACUCGAAGUGGUAAAUUUCUCGGAUGAACUCCGCUGCUAAGAGCCGAGCCACCUCCUCGCCAAUGGCCUUCCUCUUCUGAACGGCAGACCGUCGAAGAUGUUCUUUCACAGGUUUAAAUUUUGGGUCGACUCGUAGACGGUGCUCAGCCAGCCCCCUGGGAACUCCAGGCAUGUCAGCAGGCUUCCAUGCAAAGAUGUCCCAGUUCUCACGGAGGAACUGGAUGAGCGCUUCUUCCUAUUUGGAGUCGACCGUCGUUGAGAUGUGAGUCGGAGCAGCGUUUGGAUCGGUCGGGUGAAUGUGAACUGCCUUCGUUUCACCGGACAACUGAAAAGCUGAUUCUGAAGCAGGCUUCUUAGCUUGUAGCAACUCACUCGGAUCUGCAGUCUUCUAAUACUCUUGCAGCUGGACCACCGCCAUCUGAGCGUCAGCAAUCUUUGAGCCUUUCUGAAAACACUCUUCUGCUUUCUUCCGAUUGCCUAUAACAGUGAUCACACCUUUGGGACCAGGCAUCUUCAAUUUGAGAUACACAUAACAUGGUCGAGCCAUGAAGCGUGCAUAAGCUGGCCUGCCCAAAAUAGCGUGAUAAGCACUUUGGAAAUCCACAACUUCGAAUGUCAACUUUUCCUUGCGGUAAUUCUUGAAAUCACCGAAAACCACAUCAAGAGCAAUUUGGCCGAGUGACUCGGCUUUCUUCCCAGGAAUGACUCUAUGGAAACUCAUGUUACUGGUGCUGAGCCUGGACAUCGGAAUGCCCAUCCCUUUUAAUGUUUCUGCAUAUAGUAUGUUCAAACCGCUGCCUCCAUCCAUCAGGACUUUGGUCAGUCGAGUGCCUUCGACAACUGGGUCGACCACCAGAGCUUGCCUCCCAGGGGUGGCAAUGUGCGUAGGGUGAUCAGACUGGUCGAAUGUGAUGGCAGUCUGGGACCACUUCAGAUAAUUGGGUGUUGCCGGAGCAACCAUAUUUACCUCACGGUUAAUAACCUUCAGUCGACUUUUGCUCUCAACAUCAGCAAAAAUCAUCAGGGUGGAAUUGACCUGGGGGUACCCAUCGUCACUAUCUUUCUUGUCCUCAACUUUGUCUGACUCCUUUUCCUUAUCUUUGGACUGCUUGCCUUGAAACUGCUGGAUCAGAAGCCGACACUGUCGAGUGGUAUGCUUUGGGUAAAUGAGUUUACCCUCUUCAUCUUUCUUGGUGUGGAUGUGACACGGUAGAUGCAAAACAUCAUUUCCAUCUUGGUCUUUAACUUUCUUGGGGUUCCAAGGUCCUUUGGGUUUUCCCUUAAAUUUUCCCUGGGUUACGGCCAGGGCCUCCCCAGGAGCGGCUGGCUCGGCUUUCCGCUUCUGUUUCUGACUGGAAUUUCCUCCGGUUUCCUGGGCGACUGCUUUAUGCUUGCCACUCCGGAGUCGAUCCUCAUCUUCACCAUUAGCGUAUUUGGUGGCAAUCUCCAUCAUCCGAUUCAGAGACAUCUCUCCGAUUCGACCGAACUUCAGAUUCAAUUCUCUAUACUUAACGCCUUCUUUAAAGGAACAAACUGCUUGAUGAUCUGGUACAUUUUCAACUGUGUGAUGCAAUGUGAUCCACCUCUGGAUGUAAUCCCUCAGAGUUUCAUUCGGUUUCUGCAUGCAAGACCGCAAUUCCGUAAGGCCUGCAGGUCGCUUGCAUGUUCCUUCAAAUGUGGUGACAAACACUCGGGAGAGAUCCUCCCAAGUGUAAAUGCUGCUGGGUGCUAACUGAUUCAGCCACGCUCUGGCCGAGCCUUCUAACAUGAGAGGCAAGUGCUUCAUGGCUACCUCAUCGUUCCCACCGCCAAUCUGGACAGCCACUCGGUAAUCUUCGAGCCAAGUAUCGGGCUUGGACUCACCGGUGAACUUACUAACUCCAGUCGCCAACCUGAAGUUGGGAGGAAUUACAGCGGCUCUGAUGGCUCGACUGAAACACUCCGGCCCUGAAACAUGUACUCUGCUACUGGUAGGCGCAUCUCUGUCGUGGCCUUCUCGGUGAGCUCUAUUCCUAUCGACCAAACCUUGAACGAGAAUGGAUCUCGCAUCAAAGCCUGGUUCCCUGGGGUCGACUGGAAUUCUCCGCCCAACACUAUGAGGGCGUCUGUCAAACCUGUUGUCGAGGCACAUAUGAUCCACUCCUCGGGGGAGGGGUUGGCACUCGACGUCAAUCAUUACGAUCGAAUCGGUGAUCAUACUGCUCAUUCCUUCUGUACUGAUCAUGCCGGUCUCCACGUCCCUCACGCCUCGGAGGCGAUCUUGGGCUGUGAGUCGACUGGACUGUAUCCGCUGCAACAGAUCGACUGUGGAUCCUGUUCCACGACUGAGAAACAGCGGAAUUCUGGUCUCCCGCUGCCUGGAGCAACGCUCUGAUUUGCAACAAGCCUCUGCCAGCCUCUGACUGGGAGGGCUGAAUCGACUCUGCUAUACGGGCCGCAGCCGCCAAAUUCUGAAUCGGAGUACGAUAUACCUGCGGGGGCGGAAAGAGUUGACGUCGACUAGAUUCUGGAGCCCGUUGAAGCGCUCGCCCGUCGAGUAUUCGCUGGAUAUUCUCCAGUCGAGUGCGCUCGGCCAAGUUAGCCAAGCGCGCGUCCUCCAAGGCUCGGGCCUCGGGGGUUUCUCCAACGAUAGGAGUGUGGAGUGCAUCCAUGUUCCGGCGAAGAAGUUCCUCCCGCUACAACGACGUGAGAGGCUCGGGGAGAUACUCCUCUUCAGGACGCGACGGGUCGACCCCAUCCGUGCCUCCGUCAGCGCAGGGGAAACCGGGAGGACUGUGUGGCCCAUCGAUCACCAGAACCUCUACAGCUGGGUCACUGCUGUCGCAUUCGGAUGCGGUCUCUGUGGAGCCAGUCGACAGGUCGAACAGGUCGUAGAGGGAUUCGUCAGGCUCGAUUGCCGCGACUUGUGGGGUGGCCGACUGGCGGGCCACCACAUGCCUCACCCACCUCUGAAGCCUCGACCGACCGGAGCGCUUGCGCCGACGAGAAACAGGGCGGGGAGAUGCCACGGGAGCCGACCGAUACUGGGUCGACGACUGCCGCAGGAGGACACCACGGACGCAUGCGCGAAAGUGCGUUGCCCCACGGACGGGGAGCGCAUCGACGUCGAGUGGAGCCUCCUGAAGCCAAGCGGAGUCGUCGGCGAUGAACGUGAGCGCGCCGAGAUGGAUCUCGCGGCCCUCCACCAAAGCUCCGCCCGAAACCAUGAUCAAGGAGAUCGGAAAAAAUCACAACUUCUCGAACUAGGCGCUAAGACUCCUAGCCCCACGGUGGGCGCCAACUGUCGUGGUUCUAACUCUGACAGUGAUGUAGGGGGGUAUGUAUGGAGAGGCUAGAUCUUAGCUAUGGAGGAGUUGUAAGCACACGAGGAUUACGAGUUCAGGCCCUUCUCGGAGGAAGUAACAGCCAUACGUCUCGGUGCCCGGAGGCGGUCGACUGAAUUAUGUGUGUAUGAAUAACAGGGGUGCCAACCCUUGAUACUGAGGAGGGGGGUGGAUUAUAUAGAGUUCGCCAGGCCCCUCCAACCCUCAGUAAUGCAAGGUUUAAAGUACAUUAAGAUUGGGGGUUACUGGUAACGCCCCUAAUAAAGUGCUAUGAUGACCAUAAAAGCUACUUAAUGACCGAUCGUUUGCGUGCAGGGUGACUUUAGAUCUCCUGGCAGUCGAGUGGUUGGAUUUGGUCAAGUGAUUGCUUCGUGGUCGAGUGUCUUGAAUCUGUCGAGUGGGAUACCUCCAAGUCGAUUGAAAGGUGACUUCUUCUAGGGAUGUCCUUGGGUAGGGUACUUAGGACAGGUCCAUGCCCCUAUCCUAGGUACAUAGCUUCAUCAGCUUACACUUGGUCUCAAUUGAGACAUGUAUGUUCUAACUAUUUUUGUUUCAGAAAUUUAAAGCCAAGGUUAAAAUCUUCUUAGCAAACCGAUGCAAGUAUAGUUUCUCAUCCAAUGACAUCGGUAAGAGAAUGCAAAAUAAAAUUCAUAGCCGAAUGGGGUGGUACAAAAUCUGAACCAUUCAUUUGCUUAACUCCAAAGCCGUUCUCACAGCAAGAUCGGCUAGAAAAUAAAAAGUUUGCCUUCAAUUCAAACAUGUGUGAUCAAAUAUUUGAUUUGUUGCUGCAAAAUAAUUACAUAAGAAUUCUUGAUCACCAUGUCAAGCCAUCAAUUCAAGGAUGAAUGUAUUGUAGGUUGCAUCAUUCGUUCAAACAUAAUUUUGAGGAUUACAAUAUGUUUCGUCAAAUAGUUAAAUCGGCCAUUGAUAAAGGACGAUCGAAAUUUGUUGAGACACCAAGAGAUGACCAGUCUAUUCCGAUUGGUCCCGAUGGCAGAAAGUUUUUGCAUCGGCUGCUUCAAGCCGAUCCAUUUAAAGAGAAGGUAAAAAUUGCAGGUGAUGGGAUCGAGUUUUCAAGUAAAGAAUUUGUUGAAAAGCAUAAAGAACAUAAUCUUGAGGGCAAAAAUUCCAUCGAAGCUACAAUGAGACGCCAAGGACUGGAGGCAGCAAGCAAAUCCAAUGAUCAGUGAAAGCAAACCAAAAGAAAACAAAGGCCGAAAUAAGCGCAAGUGUAAGAGAUCAAAAAUCACCUUCGCUGAACUAUUGGAUAAAUAUCAAAAGAAGAGUGAAGAGAAGAAUGCUUAUCGGCCAAAUCAUGCAAAGAAACCAAGAUCACCCCCAAGGCGCAAAUAUGAGGAUCGGUAUUGGCAAAGUGAUAAUUUUAAUGCAACAUAUUCAUAUCCUUAUUUUUGGCCGCCAAUGCCAAUGCCGUGGAUGCCUCCCUAUGUUCAUAUAGAUCCAUAUUCAUUAUGGGACAGGUAUGAUACAAGGGCACAUUCUCCAUCUUAUUUUAGACCAUCUCACCAAUAUUAUGCAUCUCCGAGAAGAUCAACAUUUGAACAAUCACAUGUUAAAGACCGUUUCAGUCGUAACGAAUCGGUCCAGAGCUCAAGGAAGAAGAAAGAGGUGGUAAAGCAAGUUUACCGCGUGAAAAAAGAUGGUCGUAAGUGUGCUACUUAAGAUUUGAUCUCAAAUAACAAAGAGCCAAUUAAAGUGUUGACAUUGGCUACAAAAGGCAAAGAGGUGAAGAAAUCAAUUGAUAAAAAUCAGAGUGCCAAAUCUGAAGAAAGGAGGUUGAGGGUGCACAAGGCCCAAAACGAGUUGCCAUUGGUUGAAACAAAAUCACAUCCGACAUGCUCACUUGGCUUAUCAUAUUGGCAAAAGAAGAAAUUACAAAAUCUUAGUGCACAAGAGCUGAGAAAGAAGAAUAUGGCAUGGGUUCCCAAGAAGAUCAAUCAAGACAAAAAUGAUGUGCAUGCUUCUAUUGCAACAAGUGCAAUAAAAGUGAAGAAGGAAAAGAAUGAAAGCAACAAACAAUUAAGCCGAAGGUGCGCAUCACAACAUCAAAAUCUUCGGUUAGCACAUCAUCCAUUUUCUUCAACCAUGCCGUUGAUGCCUUUGCCAUGGAAUUCAUCCCUAGGUAUGAUCAAUUACCCUCCAUGGAUUUUAUUUUGAUCCAUGGAUGCAACAUAAUUUUCUAUAUCAUGAGAGGGUAGUACCAAAUCACUAUACAUUUUGUUAGUUAUAUCUUUGUUGCUAAUACAAAGGGGCCGAAAUAUUUUAUUGCUAUUUCAUUUGUUUAUUUCGGCUAUACAUACUUUGGUGGGUGAAUUCUACAUGGACCUCAUGGGAAUGGCCGAUACUUAUAUAUCGCCCUAAGAAUAUCUAAGAAUGGGUUGUGUGGUAUUCUAACCUCGUCCUUAGUUUGAGUAGAGAUUGAGAUAAGUCCUUGCAAAGGAAUUUGUCAAAUUGAUGUCAUUGAAGAUAUUAGCAUAGACCAAUUCAUCAAAAUUGCAAAGUGAAAUUAUGUUUUGUCUGGGUGUGCUUUGGCUUAUUAGUUUUCAGAAUUUACGUAAGGCCAAAUCAUGGUUGAUUUUUUUAUUGAGCAUCAUAUUGACAUCAUGCAUAAUAUUGUUUUUAGCUUGAUCUCUCUAGUACCAUGGAGAUUAUAUAUUGAUGGUUAAAUUUGUAACAAUGGCCAAGGUGUUGGUGUUGUUUAUUUAACUCCAUAUGAAGCUAUUUUGUGAAGCCUCAUGCCGCUUAAAAUAUUUUUGCACAAUGAUCAAAGCCGAAUAUGCAUUGUUAUUCGGAUUGGAGCUUUGCCUUGCUAUAGGUGCUAUAAAUAUUGAGGCUUCCGGUGAUUCGUUAUUAGUAGUGAAACAAAUAUCCAAGGGUUAUCAAUGUUUUGACGAAUCACUUAUAGUUUAUCUUUUGGUAUGUCUAGAUGCAAAAUUUACCUGGGGUUGCAUUAAAAUUGUUCAUAUAUUUAGACAUGUCAAUUGAAGAGAGUUGGCAUAGCAAGCAUCCGGCUACCAUGUCUGUGAUGGUGUAUUGCAUAUCUAUCAAUAGCUGAUGCUUAUUCUUGCCAACAUAGGUAAGGCCGAAUUGGAGCUCACUACCUCAGCCACUAAUGAAACUUUUAUGCAGACAAAGUAAGGAUUCGAGAAAGUUCAUUGUUGAUAAUAUGCAAGAUCCUAGCAGAAGGGUGGACAAUAUGGUUGAUGGAUGGUCUUGACAUGCAUACCUAUGGAACUUUAUAGUCGGAUUAAUGAAGUUGGGAAAGUCACCCAAGCUUGCAUCAAAAUAUUCACACAAGCAAUGGCCGAUAUAAACUUAUCGUCCUAAGCAUAUGCAAAAUGGCCGAUGUAGUGUUAACAUCAUCCUUAGAGCAAGCUAUGUGCAAGUUAUUUUUCGGCACACAAGCUUUGCCGAAAAACAGGGGGACAUGUGUUGACACCAGAUUUUGGCACGGUCAAGAACUUAUUUAACAUGGCCUCAAAUGGAGAAGUGAUCUACAUAAAAGAGUUCCGUAUUAUUGAUAUGAACAUCUUUGAAGUUUGGGUCAUCGUCGUUUGAUUUCAUCUCGAAGGCCGAAACUAUGAUCAAAGUACUAAGAUCUUAUAUUCAGAGUACAAUUUGGCCGAUUAAGCCCCUAAGACGACCUCAAAUGCAAAAAUGACCUACACGAGUUGUCUUCGUCUCGUCGAAACGGUCGAUUUUGAUAUAAAAAUCGUUCAAAUCCGAGUUCGUAUGCAAAAAUUAGAGCACUCGGAGUGCAGCACUGUCACGAGGCGACAUGUGGCGCGCCCCACCAGACACAUGUCUGAUGGGUAGCGCGAGGGAAUAGCCUGUUUUGCGAGACCGAUUUGACCCUCAAGAUGACCUCUGAUCAAAAAACUUUCAAUAUGAAAGUUGUUCGUCUCGUCGAAACGGUUAAGAUUGCUUUUGGGCUCGUUUUCAUCCGAGAUCGUUUACCAUCACAAAAAAGACCCGCAAGGUGCAGCCAGUUUAAACCGAACAUUUUUGGAAAAUUUGGACAAAACCAAUCCGAAUUGGACUAGGGUUUUGGACGUGAAUUGAAGCCUUUUCCUUGCACGGGAAGUCCAGCCGCCUCUUAUAUACCUAAGAGGUGACGGCCGAUUGAACAACACACAAUCGGCAUAUCAAUCUAUCAUCUUUUAUCUUUACCUUUACCUUCUCCCUUUGUUCUUCUUUUUCUCGUUCUUCGUUCGUUCUUCUUGUUGCAGGGCGGCGAACCUCGAGGACCUAGGGGCGGUCAGGCCGACCUAGGGCAGCCCAUAGCCGCCUCGUGCCCUGACGGGGUCCCUCCCAGGCGUGUGGGGUUUCGGGUCCUGAAAAGCACCCGCCGGAUUGCUUGCGUACCACGCUUCCGGACGGGUCUCCUUCAACAUGAGCUGCGGUACAUCACCCUCGGUGUUGGAGGUACACGGUGACGUAUUCGUGUGCGAACAUCCAUCUCAUCUUGCUGUCUGCUCGUUUAAUUUUCUAUACUAGUAACGCCCAACCAACCCGGAAUCUUGACCAUUCCUUCCACAUGCAGCAGCUGACUAAUCAAAAUCCAGAUGCAUGCAGUAAGCCAGUAACAGACUGGCUUGUAUCAAUUGAUCUUUUAUUUUGGGCGAUGAGCUCCUUUUGAAAACAAAAUGGGAUUUGCGCGAUGAGAACUAGGGCAGGGUCGGCCCUGGGGCAUGGGCAGGGGGGCGACGGCCCAGGGCCCAGCCCAGGGAGGGGCACAUGAUGUAGUGCACAUAUAUAAUAUAGCCAAGCAAAAAGAGGUGAGAAAAAAAUUUAUGAGAGAAGAAAAAUGAGAUGAGGUAGGCCCAUCAGAUAGCAGGUAACGAUGAGUGAAGCGUCACACACGCCGCACGGCAGGGCCGCUCGUUUCGAUUGUGAAACAAAUCAAUCGAAGAUCUCGCGGACGCCUCGCUCGUCUGUUCGUCCACUCGUCGCUGUGGUCGCCUCGGUCACCGCUGUGCGCGUCGCCCGCCGUGCGGCAAUCCAGCAGCCGCAGCCCGCAGCAGUACGUAUACGUAUGUAUAUGAGCAAUGAGCGCAGCCCACAGCAGUACGUAUACGUAUCCAUGCAUAACUCUCUGUACCAUGUUCCUGAUCCAUCCCUGCAAACCCCAAUUUCAGUAAUUUCUUUUAUUUUUUAGAACGUAUUCAACUAUUCAUCCAUGAUCCAUCCUCUAAUUUCAGUGUACACAAAGUUCCAAAUUUUAAUGUAUAAUUUUCGAAUUCAAUCUUUCAUAGUAUGUAUUCAACCAUCCUUUUUUUGUCAUUCUAUGCACAUGUCUAGGGUUCCAAUCAUUCAAAUCAUCCGAUGUAUAAAUUUCUAAUUCCUUGAAUAAUUUUUUCUUCAUAAUAUUAGGACAUUAGCCCGCCAUGUUGCCUAAGAAGCAUUUGUCAGUUGCUCAAACAAGGAGAAAAAAGAUAGAAAGGGAUCUGAAGAUUCAACAACUGAAGGGUACUAAAGUAUUAUUGUUGUCGAUGGAGUCAGUUGAAUUUGGUUCUUAUUUGAGGUAAUCAUAUCAUGUUACUUUCAAUUUUCUAUCUUUUUAGUAUUUCUAUCGUAAUAUGACAUUGUCCAACAAUUAUUAUGUUUAAGUUUAUGUACCACGCACGCGCAUACAUAUAUAUGAUCUUAGGACAUAGGGACAAUGUCAUAUUAUGUCCCUAUGGCCACCCAGGUCAGGAUGGCCAUGUGCCCCUAUGUCCUAAGAUCAUAUAUAUGUAUGCACGUGCGUGGUACAUAAACUUAAACAUAAUAAUUGUUGGACAAUGUCAUAUUACGACAGAAAUACUAAAAAGAUAGAAAAUUGAAAGUAAUAUGAUAUGAUUACCUUAAAUAAGAACCAAAUUCAACUAACUCCAUCGACAACAAUAAUACUUAAGUACCCUUCAGUUGUUGAAUCUUCAGAUCCCUUUGUAUCUUUUUUCUCCUUGUUUGAGCAACUGACAAAUGCUUCUUAGGCAACAUGGCGGGCUAAUGUCCUAAUAUUAUGAAGAAAAAAUUAUUCAAGGAAUUAGAAAUUUAUACAUCGGAUGAUUUGAAUGAUUGGAACCCUAGACAUGUGCACAGAAUGACAAAAAAAGGAUGGUUGAAUACAUACUAUGAAAGAUUGAAUUCAAAAAUUAUACAUUAAAAUUUGGAACUUCGUGUACACUGAAAUUAGAGGAUGGUGUUGUAAAUAUGCCCUAGAGGCAAUAAUAAAAGGAUUAUUAUUAUAUUUCCUUGUUCAUGAUAAUUGUCUUUAUUCAUGCUAUAAUUGUGUUAUCCGGAAAUCGUAAUACAUGUGUAAAUAAUAGACACCAACAUGUCCCUAGUAAGCCUCUAGUUGACUAGCUCGUUGAUCAACAGGUAGUCAUGGUUUCCUGACUAUGGACAUUGGAUGUCAUUGAUAACGAGAUCACAUCAUUAGGAGAAUGAUGUGAUGAACAAGACCCAAUCCUAAACAUAGCAUAAGAUCGUAUACUUCGUUUGCUAGAGUUUUUCCAAUGUCAAGUAUUCUUUCCUUAGACCAUGAGAUCGUGUAACUCCCGGAUACCGUAGGAGUGCUUUGGGUGUACCAAACGUCACAACGUAACUGGGUGACUAUAAAGGUAUACUACAGGUAUCUCCAAAAGUGUCUGUUGGGUUGACACGGAUCAAGACUGGGAUUUGUCACUCCGUAUGACGGAGAGGUAUCACUGGGCCCACUCGGUAAUGCAUCAUCAUAAUGAGCUCAAAGUGACCAAGUGUCUGAUCACGGGAUCAUGCAUUACGGUACGAGUAAAGUGACUUGCCGGUAACAAGAUUGAACGAGGUAUUGGGAUACCGACGAUCGAAUCUCGGGCAAGUAACAUACCGAUUGACAAAGGGAAUUGUAUACGGGGUUGCUUGAAUCCUCGACAUCGUGGUUCAUCCGAUGAGAUCAUCGAGGAGCAUGUGGGAGCCAACAUGGGUAUCCAGAUCCCGCUGUUGGUUAUUGACCGGAGAGCGAUCUCGGUCAUGUCUACAUGUCUCCCGAACCCGUAGGGUCUACACACUUAAGGUUCGGUGACGCUAGGGUUGUAGGGAUAUGUAUAUGCAGCAACCCGAAUGUUGUUCGGAGUCCCGGAUGAGAUCUCGAACAUCACGAGGAGUUCCGGAAUGGUCCGGAGGUAAAUAAUUAUAUAUAGGAAGUGCUAUUUCGGCCAUCGGGACAAGUUUUGGGUCACCGGUAUUGUACCGGGACCACCGGAAGGGUCCCGGGGGUCCACCGGGUGGGGCCACCUGCCCCCGGGGGGACACAUGGGCUGUAGGGGGUGCGCCUUGGCCUGUAUGGGCCAAGGGCACCAGCCCCAAGAGGCCGAUGCGCCUAGGGUUAAAGAAGGGAAGAGUCCCAAAGGGGGAAGGCACCUCCUAGGUGCCUUGGGGAGGAGGGAUUCCUCCCUUGGCCGCCGCCCCCCUAGGAGAUUGGAUCUCCUAGGGCCGGCGCCCCCCUAGCCCCCCUAUAUAUAGUGGGGAGAUGGAGGACUUCUAACCCCAUGCCUUUGGUGCCUCCCUCUCCCUCUCCAACACAUCCUCCUCCUCCAUAGAGCUUAGCGAAGCCCUGCCAGAGUACUGCAGGUCCAUCACCACCAUGCCGUCGUGCUGCUACUGGAGCCAUCUUCCUCAACCUCUCCUCCCCCCUUGCUGGAUCAAGAAGGAGGAGACGUUACGCUGACCGUACGUGUGUUGAACGCGGAGGUGCCGUCCGUUCGGCGCUAGGAUCUCCGGUGAUUUGGAUCACGUCGAGUACGCCUUCCUCAUCCCCGUUCUUUGAACGCUUCCACGCGUGAUCUACAAAGGUAUGUAGAUGCAAUCCAAUCACUCGUUUCUAGAUGAACUCAUAGAUGGAUCUUGCUGAAACCGUAUGAAAAAUUUUGUUUUCUGCAACGUUCCCCAACAGUGGCAUCAUGAGCUAGGUCUAUGCGUAGUUCUCUUGCACGAGUAGAACACAAAUUUGUUGUUGGCGUAGAUGUUGUCAACUUUCUUGCCGCUACUAGUCUUAUCUUGCUUCAGCGGUAUUGUGGGAUGAAGCGGCCCGGACCAACCUUACACGUACGCUUACGUGAGACCGGUUCCACCGACUAACAUGCACUAGUUGCAUAAGGUGGCUGGCGGGUGUCUGUCUCUCCCACUUUAGUUGGAGCGGAUUCGAUGAAAAGGGUCCUUAUGAAGGGUAAAUAGAAGUUGACAAAUCACGUUGUGGCUUUCACGUAGGUAAGAAAACGUUCUUGCUAGAACCCUAUUUCAGCCACGUAAAACUUGCAACAACAAUUAGAGGACGUCUAACUUGUUUUUGCAGCAAGUGCUUUGUGAUAUGAUAUGGCCAAAGUUAUGAUGAAUGAUGAAUGAUAUAUAUGUGAUGUAUGAGAUGUUCAUGCUAUUGUAAUAGGAAUCACGACUUGCAUGUCGAUGAGUAUGACAACCGGCAGGAGCCAUAGGAGUUGUCUUUAUUUUGUAUGACCUGCGUGUCAUUGAGAAACGCCAUGUAAAUUACUUUACUUUAUUGCUAAACGCGUUAGCCAUAGUAGUAUAAGUAAUAGUUGGCGAGCAACUUCAUGGAGACACGAUGAUGGAGAUCAUGAUGAUGGAGAUCAUGGUGUCAUGCCGGUGACAAGAUGAUCACGGAGCCCCAAGAUGGAGAUCAAAGGAGCUAUGUGAUAUUGGCCAUAUCAUGUCACUAUUAUUAUUUGAUUGCAUGUGAUGUUUAUCAUGUUUUGCAUCUUGUUUACUUAGAACGACGAUAGUAAAUAAGAUGAUCCCUCAUAAUAAUUUCAAGAAAGUGUUCCCCCUAACUGUGCACCGUUGCGACAGUACGUUGUUUCGAAGCACCACGUGAUGAUCGGGUGUUAGAUUCUAACGUUCACAUACAACGGGUGUAAGACAGAUUUACACAUGCAAACACUUAGGUUGACUUGACGAGCCUAGCAUGUACAGACAUGGCCUCGGAACACAGAAGACUGAAAGGUCGAGCAUGAGUCGUAUAGAAUAUACAAUCAACAUGAAGAUGUUCACCGAUGUUGACUAGUCCGUCUCACGUGAUGAUCGGACACGGCCUAGUUAACUCGGAUCAUGUUAUACUUAGAUGACUGGAGGGAUGUCUAUCUAAGUGGGAGUUCAUUGAUUAAUUUGAUUAGAUGAACUUAAUUAUCAUGAACUUAGUCUAAAAAUCUUUACAAUAUGUCUUGUAGAUCAAAUGGCCAACGUAGUCCUCAACUUCAACGCGUUCCUAGAGAAAACCAAGCUGAAAGACGAUGGCAGCAACUACACGGACUGGGUCCGGAACCUGAGGAUCAUCCUCAUAGCUGCCAAGAAAGAUUAUGUCCUACAAGCACCGCUAGGUGACCCUCCCGUCCCACAGAACCAAGACGUUAUGAACGCUUGGCAGACACGUGCUGAUGAUUACUCCCUCGUUCAGUGCGGCAUGCUUUACAGCUUAGAACCGGGGCUCCAAAAACGUUUUGAGAGACACGGAGCAUACGAGAUGUUCGAAGAGCUGAAAAUGGUUUUUCAAGCUCAUGCCCGGGUCGAGAGAUAUGAAGUCUCCGACAAGUUCUUCAGCUGUAAGAUGGAGGAAAAUAGUUUUAUCAGUGAGCACAUACUCACAAUGUCUGGGUUACAUAACCGCUUGACUCAGCUGGGAGUUAAUCUCCCGGAUGACGCAGUCAUUGACAGAAUCCUCCAGUCACUUCCACCAAGCUACAAGAGCUUUGUGAUGAACUUCAAUAUGCAGGGGAUGGAAAAGACCAUUCCUGAGGUAUUUGCAAUGCUGAAAUCAGCAGAGGUAGAAGUCAAAAAGGAACAUCAAGUGUUGAUGGUGAAUAAAACCACUAAGUUCAAGAAGGGCAAGGGUAAGAAAGUCUUCAAGAAGGAUGGCAAGGGAGAUGCCGCACCCGGCAAGCAAGCUGCCGGGAAGAAGCCAAAGAAUGGACCCAAGCCCGAGACUGAGUGCUUUUAUUGCAAGGGAAGUGGUCACUGGAAGCGGAACUGCCCCAAAUACUUAGCGGACAAGAAGGCCGGCAAAACAAAAGGUAUAUGUGAUAUACAUGUAAUUGAUGUGUACCUUACCAGUAUUCGUAGUAGCUCCUGGGUAUUUGAUACCGGUGCGGUUGCUCACAUUUGUAACUCAAAGCAGGAGCUGCGGAAUAAGCGGAGACUGGCAAAGGACGAGGUGACGAUGCGCGUCGGGAAUGGUUCCAAGGUCAAUGUGAUCGCCGUCGGCACGCUACCUCUACAUUUGCCUUCGGGAUUAGUUUUAAACCUUAAUAAUUGUUAUUUAGUGCCAGCUUUGAGCAUGAACAUUGUAUCAGGAUCUCGUUUAAUUCGAGAUGGCUACUCAUUUAAAUCCGAGAAUAAUGGUUGUUCUAUUUAUAUGAGAGAUAUGUUUUAUGGUCAUGCUCCGAUGGUGAAUGGUUUAUUCUUAAUGAAUCUCGAGCGUAAUGCUACACAUGUUCAUAGUGUGAGUACCAAAAGAUGUAAGAUUGAUAAUGAUAGCUCCACAUACUUGUGGCACUGCCGCCUUGGUCACAUAGGUGUCAAACGCAUGAAGAAGCUCCAUGCUGAUGGACUUUUAGAGUCUCUUACGAAUCAUUUGACACGUGCGAACCAUGCCUCAUGGGUAAAAUGACCAAGACUCCGUUCUUAGGAACAAUGGAGCGAGCAACCAACUUAUUGGAAAUCAUACAUACUGAUGUGUGUGGUCCAAUGAGUGUUGAGGCUCGCGGUGGCUAUCGUUAUGUUCUCACCCUCACUGAUGACUUGAGUAGAUAUGGGUAUGUCUACUUAAUGAAACACAAGUCUGAGACCUUUGAAAAGUUCAAGGAAUUUCAGAGUGAGGUUGAGAAUCAACGUGAUAGGAAAAUAAAGUUCCUGCAUCAGAUCGUGGAGGAGAAUACUUGAGUCAUGAGUUUGGCACACACUUAAGAAAAUGUGGAAUAGUUUCACAGCUCACGCCGCCUGGAACACCUCAGCGUAAUGGUGUGUCCGAACGUCGUAAUCGCACUCUAUUAGAUAUGGUGCGAUCUAUGAUGUCUCUUACCGAUUUACCGCUAUCUUUUUGGGGCUAUGCUUUAGAGACUGCCGCAUUCACUUUAAAUAGGGCUCCAUCGAAAUCCGUUGAGACGACACCGUAUGAAUUAUGGUUUGGGAAGAAACCUAAGCUGUCGUUUCUGAAAGUUUGGGGAUGCGAUACUUAUGUCAAGAAACUUCAACCUGAAAAGCUCGAACCCAAGUCGGAAAAAUGCGUCUUCAUAGGAUACCCUAAAGAAACUAUUGGGUAUACCUUCUACCUCAGAUCCGAAGGCAGGAUCUUUGUUGCCAAGAAUGGAUCCUUUCUGGAGAAAGAGUUUCUCUCGAAAGAAGUAAGUGGGAGGAAAGUAGAACUUGAUGAAGUAUUACCUCUUGAACCGGAAAAUGGCGCAACUCAAGAAAAUGUUCCUGAGGUGCCUGCACCGACUAGAGAGGAAGUUAAUGAUGAUGAUCAUGAAACUUCAGAUCAAGUUGCUACUGAAAUUUGAAGGUCCACAAGGACACGUUCCGCACCAGAUUGGUACGGCAACCCUGUAUUGGAAAUCAUGUUGUUAGACAACGGUGAACCUUCGAACUAUGAAGAAGCGAUGGCGGGCCCGGAUUCUGACAAAUGGCUAGAAGCCAUGAAAUCCGAGAUAGGAUCCAUGUAUGAAAACGAAGUAUGGACUUUGACUGACUUGCCCGUUGAGCGGCGAGCCAUAGAAAACAAAUGGAUCUUUAAGAAGAAGACAGACGCGGAUGGUAAUGUGACCAUCUAUAAAGCUCAGCUUGUCGCUAAGGGUUAUCGACAAGUUCAAGGGGUUGACUACGAUGAGACUUUCUCACCGGUAGCGAAGCUGAAGUCCAUCCGAAUCAUGUUAGCGAUAGCCGCAUUCUAUGAUUAUGAAAUAUGGCAAAUGGACGUCAAAACGGCAUUCCUUAAUGGUUUCCUUAAGGAAGAAUUGUAUAUGAUGCAGCCGGAAGGUUUUGUCGAUCCUAAGAAUGCUGACAAGGUGUGCAAGCUCCAACGCUCGAUUUAUGGGCUGGUGCAAGCAUCUCGGAGUUGGAACAUUCGCUUUGAUGAGAUGAUCAAAGCGUUUGGGUUUACACAGACUUAUGGAGAAGCCUGCGUUUACAAGAAAGUGAGUGGGAGCUCUGUAGCAUUUCUCAUAGUAUAUGUAGAUGACAUACUUUUGAUGGGAAAUGAUAUAGAACUAUUGGACAGCAUUAAGGCCUACUUGAAUAAGAGUUUUUCAAUGAAGGACCUUGGAGAAGCUGCAUAUAUAUUAGGCAUCAAGAUCUAUAGAGAUAGAUCAAGACGCCUCAUAGGUCUUUCACAAAGCACAUACCUUGAUAAGAUAUUGAAGAAGUUCAAUAUGGAUCAGUCUAAGAAGGGGUUCUUGCCUGUGUUACAAGGUGUGAAAUUGAGCUCAGCUCAAUGUCCGACCACGGCAGAAGAUAUAGAAGAGAUGAGUGUCAGCCCCUAUGCCUCAUCCAUAGGUUCUAUUAUGUAUGCCAUGCUGUGUACCAGACCUGAUGUAAACCUUGCCGUAAGUUUGGUAGGAAGGUACCAAAGUAAUCCCGGCAAGGAACACUAGACAGCGGUCAAGAAUAUCCUAAAGUACCUGAAAAGGACUAAGGAAAUGUUUCUCGUUUAUGGAGGUGACGAAGAGCUCGUCGUAAAGGGUUACGUCGACACUAGCUUCGACACAGAUCUGGAUGACUCAAAGUCACAAACCGGAUACGUGUAUAUUUUGAAUGGUGGGGCAGUAAGCUGGUGCAGUUGCAAGCAGAGCGUCGUGGCGGGAUCUACAUGUGAAGCGGAGUACACGGCAGCCUCGGAGGUAGCACAUGAAGCAAUUUGGGUGAAGGAGUUCAUCACCGACCUAGGAGUCAUACCCAAUGCGUCGGGGCCAAUCAAACUCUUCUGUGACAACACUGGAGCUAUUGCUCUUGCCAAGGAGCCCGGGUUUCACAAGAAGACCAGGCACAUCAAGCGCCGCUUCAACUCCAUUCGUGAAAAUGUUCAAGAUGGAGACAUAGAUAUUUGUAAAGUACAUAUGGACCUGAAUGUAGCAGAUCCGUUGACUAAACCUCUCCCUAGAGCAAAACAUGAUCAACACCAGAAUUCCAUGGGUGUUCGAUUCAUCACAAUGUAACUAGAUUAUUGACUCUAGUGCAAGUGGGAGACUGUUGGAAAUAUGCCCUAGAGGCAAUAAUAAAAGGAUUAUUAUUAUAUUUCCUUGUUCAUGAUAAUUGUCUUUAUUCAUGCUAUAAUUGUGUUAUCCAGAAAUCGUAAUACAUGUGUGAAUAAUAGACACCAACAUGUCCCUAGUAAGCCUCUAGUUGACUAGCUCGUUGAUCAACAGGUAGUCAUGGUUUCCUGACUAUGGACAUUGGAUGUCAUUGAUAACGAGAUCACAUCAUUAGGAGAAUGAUGUGAUGGACAAGACCCAAUCCUAAACAUAGCAUAAGAUCGUAUAGUUCGUUUGCUAGAGUUUUUCCAAUGUCAAGUAUCCUUUCCUUAGACCAUGAGAUCGUGUAACUCCCGGAUACCGUAGGAGUGCUUUGGGUGUACCAAACGUCACAACGUAACUGGGUGACUAUAAAGGUAUACUACGGGUAUCUCUGAAAGUGUCUGUUGGGUUGACACGGAUCAAGACUGGGAUUUGUCACUCCGUAUGACGGAGAGGUAUCACUGGGCCCACUCGGUAAUGCAUCAUCAUAAUGAGCUCAAAGUGACCAAGUGUCUGAUCACGGGAUCAUGCAUUACGGUACGAGUAAAGUGACUUGCCGGUAACAAGAUUGAACGAGGUAUUGGGAUACCGACGAUCGAAUCUCGGGCAAGUAACAUACCGAUUGACAAAGAGAAUUGUAUACGGGGUUGCUUGAAUCCUCGACAUCGUGGUUCAUCCGAUGAGAUCAUCGAGGAGCAUGUGGGAGCCAACAUGGGUAUCCAGAUCCCGCUGUUGGUUAUUGACCGGAGAGCGAUCUCGGUCAUGUCUACAUGUCUCCCGAACCCGUAGGGUCUACACACUUAAGGUUCGGUGACGCUAGGGUUGUAGGGAUAUGUAUAUGCAGCAACCCGAAUGUUGUUCGGAGUCCCGGAUGAGAUCUCGAACGUCACGAGGAGUUCCGGAAUGGUCCGGAGGUAAAUAAUUAUAUAUAGGAAGUGCUAUUUCGGCCAUCGGGACAAGUUUUGGGUCACCGGUAUUGUACCGGGACCACCGGAAGGGUCCCGGGGGUCCACCGGGUGGGGCCACCUGCCCCCGGGGGGACACAUGGGCUGUAGGGGGUGCGCCUUGGCCUGUAUGGGCCAAGGGCACCAGACCCAAGAGGCCGAUGCGCCUAGGGUUCAAGAAGGGAAGAGUCCCAAAGGGGGAAGGCACCUCCUAGGUGCCUUGGGGAGGAGGGAUUCCUCCCUUGGCCGCCGCCCCCCUAGGAGAUUGGAUCUCCUAGGGCCGGCGCCCCCCUAGCCCCCCUAUAUAUAGUGGGGAGAUGGAGGACUUCUAACCCCAUGCCUUUGGUGCCUCCCUCUCCCUCUCCAACACAUCCUCCUCCUCCAUAGAGCUUAGCGAAGCCCUGCCGGAGUACUGCAGCUCCAUCACCACCAUGCCGUCGUGCUGCUGCUGGACCCAUCUUCCUCAACCUCUCCUCCCCCCUUGCUGGAUCAAGGAGGAGACGUUACGCUGAUCGUACGUGUGUUGAACGCGGAGGUGCCGUCCGUUCGGCGCUAGGAUCUCCGGUGAUUUGGAUCACGUCGAGUACGCCUUCCUCAUCCCCGUUCUUUGAACGCUUCCGCGCGUGAUCUACAAAGGUAUGUAGAUGCAACCCAAUCACUUGUUGCUAGAUGAACUCAUAGAUGGAUCUUGCUGAAACCGUUGGAAAUUUUUUGUUUUCUGCAACGUUCCCCAACAGAUGGAUCAUGGAUGAAUAGUUGAAUACGCUCUAAAAAAUAAAAGAAAUUACUGAAAUUGGGGUUUGCAGGGAUGGAUCAAGAACAUGGUACAUAGAGUUAUGCAUGGAUACGUAUACGUACUGCUGUGGGCUGCGCUCACUACUCACAUACAUAUGUAUACGUACUGCUGCGGGCUGCGGCUGCUGGAUUGCCGCACGGCGGGUGACGCGCACAGCGGUGACCGAGGUGACCACAACGACGAGUGGACGAACAGACGAGCGAGGCGUCCGCGAGAUCUUCGAUUGAUUUGUUUCACAAUCGAAUCGAGCGGCCCUGCCGUGCGGCGUGCGUGACGCUUCGCUCAUCGCUACCUGCUAUCUGAUGGGCCUACCACAUCUCAUUUUUCUUCUCUCAUAAAUUCUUUUCUCACCUAUUUUUGCUUGGCUAUAUUAUAUAUGUGCACUACAUCAUGGGCCCCUCCGUGGGCUGGGCCCUGGGCCUUCGCCCCCCUGCCCAUGCCCCAGGGCCGGCCCUAGUGCGAGGCAGCAGCGGCGGGACACGGUGGUGUAAGGCUGCGCCAGCGGAACGGCGUGGUGCUGCCUAGGCCGCAACGGCAGGGCUGUUGGCGACGGCUAUGCUGUUGGCGGUGCCUAGGGCUUCCUCGCUUCUCUGUCGUUGCCGCUCCGAGGGGAUGACAGGAGCAGGGAGGCUAACUAACCUAGGCGGAGAAAAGGGAGGACCCAGCGACGACGGCGGCGGCGGGCAAGCCGUUGGCGGCGGCGACGACGCGCACACAAAGGUGCUACAUCCGCCAUGAGUAGCAGGAGCUCGGGGAUGAUGCGAUCCUCCGCCCACAGAGCAGAGGAGGGAGAGAGAGAGACUGCGGCGAUGACACGAGUGGAAGGGGAACGGGCUUCAGAAAUCCACCGGGCAGAUUAGUACCAUACCGAAGUUUAAUCAGGACGUGACCAGUUUAUUAGGCCCAAUUCUACUAACUGUAUCGCCAACACAGGGAUAUGCACGGCCGUCGGCUGCGAAAGAUGCCAAAGCGCACAAAUAAAAGAGGCCACCGAGCCCAACCCGUGACCAGCACCCAAUAGUGCACACGGACGAAAAGAUGGCCUCCGAGCCCAGCCGUGACCCAGCACCGAUAAGUGCACACGGACCAAAAUAAAUGCAGCAAAAAUAUCCGCCAUGAGGGCACAGUUGUAAAAAAUAGCGCAAUUGCAUCCCCUGAGUUGGCACAUGCUAGACAUUAGCCACUUGACUUUUUGUUCAAAUUCCUUUUUAAAAGCUUUUUCCUACAAGAAAACGCACGGGGUGCAGCGGCCAGCGAGAGGAGCGCUCGAAGCCAGUCAUGGCGUCCGCUCGCAGCUGCCGCGAGGUUGCUUGUAGUGGCCAGGGCGCAUCGCGCGGCCAGCUUUUUGCUGCCCCUCCUCGAUGUUUGUUGCUACGGGGAAGAAGAAAGGGGAUGAGCGGGAAAUCAAACAUUCUAUGAAAGAGUGGGAGUUCAAACAGAAUAAGAUUGCUAGAUCGUAAAAUAGGGUAGCUAGGGUAGCUCAUUGUCCUGUGAAUUAUGCAUGGACAACUCGAAACACUGCGUGUUGGUUGCAUACAACUCCUUAUUUUGUUAAGGAUCUUGUAAUAGCUGAUUGCAAUCCUAUUGAAUCGAAAUAAAAACUCUGAUUCCCCGCAAAUAAAAGGUGGAUGAGUAGCAGAGGAGAUGGAGAUGUGCUGCUACAACAACAAGAGAGAUAUUUCACAUGGUGGGAAAGAGAUGAGGAUAAGAAGGGCGGUGUUAACACCCAUUGCAGGGUGGAAUGGCAAGACACUGGGAGCUGCCUCCCAUGCGUGCGAUCUAGCCAAAUCGGACGCGUCGCGUGCGUCCGGCUCAAAGUUGUGCCGACCAGCCAUGUUCAAACAUUUCCCUUUUUUUAAUAUAUCAGCAAACCGUAUAACUAUCUCUUUAUAUUGUUGUCCAAGAUACUGUCAUAAAAGGUACACAAAUCAAAUUCCACAUGAAGUGCUAAUGAUAGAGGACAGAACCAUAUAGACACUUACCAGUAGCACACUCUUGUCGUUACACACACGCGCGUCGAGUGCGGAGAGACAUCAAGACGAACGCACUAACCAACGAAGGGCAUGAUUCCACGAGAUAGGCUAGUCUCUGACCUGCAUUCUGAUCUUGGGAUAAAGCUCUCAUCAUCAUGCCCACCAGGUUCAGAGGUGUGGGUGUUGGUUGUUCUGUCGUCGUCUUUGGCGAAACAAUAGGCAGGCACCUGCCAUUCCGGGUCCUCUGGCACCAUUUCUGGCAUGAAGCUCAUCACAUGUGCAAUCCACCCUACGGGAUCACAUAAAUGCCAGCAAGAUAUUACAAAUUCAGGUUUAUUUUCAAACAUCAGUGAAAAUGCCAUGUACGUUUUUUAUGAACCCCCCUCCUCCCCGCAUUACAUUAUCAUUAAUGAAACCAGAUACCACAUCCAAGUUUACAGUAGUUUAUGCUCCGAAACCCGAAGUCCAAAAACGAAAAACCAAGUCCUGCAAGUACAUCGUCUACUGUCAGUAUGACACACUCCUCUCUUUGCCAGAGCCUUGUAUACAGAUUUAUCUGUCAUAUCAUAUCGUUAGCGAUCAUUCAUGAAUCUACAACUUUGGUCCUAUCAAGAGAUAGAGGCAAAAGCCAAAUGUCUUAAUGGUCCUGGUUCAAGUUUACGACCAAAUUAAACAUGUAUGCAAAUAAUGUUACCUCCUGGUUGCUCAAGAUCUAUUGUAUGCAUUGUGCUGGUUUUAAUUGAUAGUAUUAGUUUUAUUUUUCGGGUAAUUGAUAGUAUUGAUAGUAUUAGUUACUAGUGUGGUAUGAGCUUCACUUAGACUAGAAGAUUUUCCUUUGUGACAAAGCAAGUUGCAGCAACUGUCUUUAUGUGUGCCUUAGAGAGAUGCCAUAAUUUCUUUAUGAUUCUAUACAAACUAAUCUCAUCAUUAACACAUUGUUCUUAUUUCUAUGUUUGACUUAAGAAUGAUGAUAUCAGUUUUAGAUGGCACAUCCUAAUUUGAAGCCAUGACCGGCACUUGAUCAUAUCGACCGAGCCAUAUCUUCUAUUGCACGGAAGCAACAUUGGAACUGUCCAAGCAAAUGAUUGGCAGUCCCGUCCAAGGGGCACGAGAGUGGCACCGAAGUUGUGAGUAUGAGUUUCUUGCGAGCUUGAGAAUUACAGUAUCAAUCUCCUAUUGAGCCCCUUUUAUUUAGUUCAGUUGCUCUGCAUUUGGCCUCCUUGUUCCUUUGCCUGUUCUACCCUAUUAUCGAUUGUUCUUCUUCACUUCCUAAUUCCACUGUCCAACAUUUCUCCUCUCCCCAGUCUAGCUGCUAAAACUUGUUUUCUGGCUCCAGGAACAUCCUAAGUUCAAAUGACAAAUUUUAACAUGAUUGUAUGUCCAAGUAAGCAAGCGAGGGUUUUUCUCUUUCUGUACAAACGAUCAUCGAUUCAAAGAUUGCUUUUGAAAGAAAAUAAUUUUGCCACUCUACAAUUGUGCUCAUGUGCUGAAAUUGUUCUAUGUACUACAGGGAAUGUAUCAGCUAGCUCCAGUUACACCUGUACAAAUUCUAGCCUUAAAUAGAAUUUACCGUUGCUAAAGUCCUAUUCUACUCCCGAGCUCAAAUGCUCCCGCGUGAACAAUAGAAUUGGAAAAAAUAGCAAACAAAUUCAAAAAAUUCUAAAUUUUAUGUGAUAAACUUUGACACAUGUUUUGUAUGCAUACAAAAUUUCAGUACGAAACGACAUUCGUGCAAGGCAUGAAAAAAACAAAAUCAGCACUCCAAAAUGUUUCCAAAACUAGCAUUUUUGGAACAUCGAUUUUUUUUUGCCACGCCUUCCACAAAUGUCGUUUCAUGCUGAAUUUUUGCCAACAUACAAAACAUUUGCUAAAGUUCAUUAUAAAAAAUUCAGAUAUUUUUGAAUUUUUUUCGAUUUUACUGUUCAUGAGGGAGCAUUUGAGAUCGGGUGUAGAUACUCCAUGUCCCUACCGUUGAGUAAUACUUCCCCAAUGUUAUCUCAUCGACAGCUAUCUCCAGCAUUGCCCUAUCCCGCGAUACAAAGUUUUAGUUCCAUAUAUGAUUUCUGCACUUAUCAUUUCUCCUGAUCAAAACUCAUUAAAAAAAAGUUGCACACGGUGCUAGUUGCCAUCUUCUCAUUUCCGGCAUGCGGAGUGAGUAAAGUAUUUGAAUAACUGAUUUCCAAUUCAUAGAAUCGCAAAUAUUUUCUUCUUUUUAAUAUGCUAUGCAACAACUGGAAAUUACAGAUGAUUAGUAGAGUGCCUGUGCGUUGCCACGGGCCAACAAAUGAAUUAACUAAAAAACAUGCUUGCCUUGCUUUAUAUAUAAAGCAACGGCCAACAUACACGCAACUGCAUACAAUACGCCGCCACCACACACAAUACACAACACACAUCCAAGGUAAGAUGCAAGGGUGCCGAGGAAUAGCAACACCCGUGCCACCAAGCACACUACAAAUGGACCAAAAAGAACAACUGGAGUCGACUGAGACCUUCAUCAUGAGCUAUGCACCACGAAUAUGUGAAGCUGGACAUCGAUGAAACAUACACUCAAAAGUGGUACCUACAAGAAGGAUACACCACGCCCAAUCCCGGGGAUCAGUUUUUCACCCAGAGCGCCAAGAAGGACAAAGAGUGACUGCCAUGGAGCCUUCAGGAAGGUAAUGACGCCCGCCGACACUGCUCCUGUCGGCCUAGAAAAAAUAAGUUAUGCACCCCAACGCUCACACAUCUUCGCUGAACCAGGGUACCGCCAAAUGCCAAAGUAGCUGCAACACCAACGCCAUGCUACGCCAAACACCAAUGGCCAUAGUAGUCCGCCGGCACCGAGAGGCGUGCUCACAUAAGAAUAUGAACAAGAGAGUAUUUGACAAGCAUUGCUCACAGCAGAAUGUAAAGUUUAUAAGAUCUAAACGGAUAACCCUAGCAUUGCACAUUUAAGCUUGCGUCGUAACAUAUCACACAUGGAGUAGGAAACUUGGUAAACUCAGUUAGUAGCCCUUUUUGUUGCUUACUUGUUAGUGCUUAUUUCGAAAGAAAGCUGAAGAAAUGUGGGUAAACAUCCACUAAAUCAAUUAGGGAACAUGUGACUCAAGGCAUAUAACACAAACAGGUUCAGCAAACAUUAUUGGUUUACCAAAGUCCACCAGGAAACAUGUGCAACAAAGAAAAACAGAAAAGCAAGUCAUCUUGCAGAGAAGUAGAAGUCAACCACAGAAAUUUCUAAUCUUCUGUAAAGCACUUGCGCAGUCAAAUACAGAAUAAUGGAAUCUCAGUUUACCUACUUAAAAACCACUUGAUAUGAAAGGAAACUUUUCUACAAAGUAAUCUUGCAGAAUAAGCUCCAGAAGCUGCCAAUACUCCAUCAUGACUUGGAUGAUUUUUCGAAUCCAGAAUUAAUGGCUUAUAAUGCAUCUGAAAAGGUAGAAUACAGCUGAAUCAGUUCACUCUUGCGCACGUCAUUAACAUGUAUUAAGGAAUACUGCAAAAUCUAGACAAGAAUGGAGAAACUAAUUACAAACAGGAAAAAAAGAAGUAUUCCAUGGAUAGGCAAACUCUCUAUCGAUCAUACAUGUAUGACAAGCAGAAGUAACGGCUAUACGUUGCCGGUUGAAUCCACCCACAGCAUAAAUAAAGAUAUACCAAGUAGUUUCAUUCUCUGACACAAAAUCUGCAGAAUAGUUUGUCAUGAGGUUUCUAACUAUGAUUGAUAAACAUAAAUAGAGGUUUAUUAGGACGGAUUCUACUAACUGCAUCGCCGACACGGGGAUGAUGCACGGCUGUCAACUGCGAAAGAUGCCAAAGCACACAAAUAAAAGAGGCCACUGAGCCCAACCCGUGACACAGCACCAAACAGUGCACACGGACGAAAAGAUGGUCUCCGAGUCCAGUCGUGACCCAGCACCGAUAAGUGCGCACGGAACAAAACAAAUGCAGUGAAAUAAUCCCCUACGAGGGCACAGUCGUAAAAAAAUAGUGCAAUUGCAUCCCCUGGGUUGGCAUGUGCUAUACAUUAGCACGGGGCUUUUUGUUCAAAUUCCUUUUUUAAAGAUUUUUUCAACACAACACCUCUUGUAUCCUUGCCUUGUCGGUUGUCGCUCAUCACUUGAACAACUCCAGCACCGCCACCAUCGCCGGGAUGCAGCUCUAACAGCAAAAACCGGAAGCCAACCAUGGCGACUAGCGUGUCUGGCUGCGGCGGCCAUGGAGAGGAGCGCUUGAAGCCAGCCAUGGUGUUCAAUCGCAGCUGCCAUGAGGUUCAUGAGCCAUAUCCGGACCUCCUGCAGCAAUCAGAAUCGAGAAAAAUUUCAGUAACAUAUUGCUGUCUCUGGAUUCGGAAAUGCCUAAAGCAAGAAUUACAUCGAACUUCAAAUAAGAAACACGGACUUCCCUUAUUCAAAAUGAAAGUAAUUUCCAACGGAAAUAACAGCCCUACAAAUUCAAAUAAGAAACACCAAGGAAAAAAAGCCUGCCUAUGAAACGGCCCUGUUCCGUUCCUUGGAGUCUGCCUAUGCUCUCCGCGCUCUUGCCCUUCGCCAUAUUAGAUCAAUGUUCAGCAUCAGUAAUAGUACGGCAGCAGAAUUUUAACUUGCCUAAAAUAAAGUCUACUGCUUGGUGAGAAAAUGUAGCAGUAGCAAACGAAACCUCAAGCAGAUUAAACAUUUACUAUAGUACAUGGACUUCUCGUAACCACAGAAUUACCAGGCCAUCAGUAACAGCUCGGCAGAACAUGAGAAAAUGUCAAAGACAAGGAUCACCAUUUUCAGGAAAUAAAAACAGUGAGCAUAUUACAGAAGUUAGAAGUAAUGUAAACAGUGAGCAUACAGCUAGCUCUAGUGUCACCAACUAGGAUAAUUACCGAUGCUUCACAUUCACUUCCAUGUCAAUCACUUAAGUGGAGAUAAAACUGAAACUUCCUUGCUAUAACAACCACAACAUAUUAACAAAAAUGAGCGAUGCAGCUCUAUACCUACUAAGAAAAUCCAUCAACACGCACACACUCAUCAGAUUCCGACACAAUAUAUAUGUAUCCCACAUGACUGAGUUACAUGUGUGGAUGUGCUUCCAUACAGCCAGCAAUCAAGACAUCCUCAUGUCCCUUAAGCAAGACAGGACUUGCACAAUGGUUGAAUGUGAAAGAUAUUCUCGUGAAAAUAUCUCUCGCGGCCUGCAGUGAGAAAAUAGAACAAAUUAUCCAACUGCACAGCAUAUUCCUAUUCUUGUCUAGCUAUUAAAAUGUAAAACAAAAAAUAAUUAUCAGGUGUUCAUAGUCUAAAAUCUGUUGCUUAUACUAUUUACCUGUAUCAACAUGUACUGAUAAAAUGCCAUGGAUAUUUGCACAGCUAUCAAGCAAAACAGCAUCAUAUAUAACUUCCAUAUUUGCACAGCUAUCAACUAAAGCAGCAUUAUAUAUCAACCCAGCAUUUUUUUAAGAAUCUUCUACUAACAGAAAUAAUUCUUUAGGAUAGUGCUAACCAGAUCUCUGUAGCCAAAUAAUAAGAGCCUGAGUCAUGUCCAAAUUACCACAAUCAGAGAACCAACAUUAUCCUUUUUGCUUACUAGUUUCAUUAUAUAUGCAAAACAUAUGGAUAAGCAACCUGGAAAUAUUCGCGCAUUUCAUCAUGAUGGCAAAGAAGUAGUGAUCUUUACCUUGAUCAAACAAGGAGAGCAGUUACUUCAUUUGCUAAUCCUAUUCCAUUCUAGCCGGUGCAUGCAGAGUCAAAUUCCAACUAAUAGUAUCAUCAUUUUAAGAUCUGUAACCUCCUCUUACUGCACGUAUACAACGAGUUCAGAUAUAUUACAACACAAGUGGUAUGCAUUGCUCGUAGUUAAUAGUAGCAUUGCUCACAUAAGAAUAUGAACAAGAGAAAGUAUUUGACAAGCAUUGCUCACAGCAGAAUGUAAAAUUUAUAAGAUCUAAACGGAUAACCCUAGCAUUGCACAUUUAGGCUUGGGUCGUAACAUAUCACCGAUAGAGUAGGAAACCUGGUAAACUCAGUUAGUAGCCCUUUUCGUUGCUUACUUGGCACUGCUUAUUUCGAAGGAAAGCUGAAGAAAUAUGGGUAAACAUCCACUAAAUCAAUUAGGGAACAUGUGACUCACGGCAUAUAACACAAACAGGUUCAACAAAUAUUAUUGGUUUACCAAAGUCCAUCAGGAAACAUGUGCAACAAAGAAAAACAGAAAAGCAAGUCAUCUUGCAGAGAAGUAGAAGUCAACCACAGAAAAUUCUAACCUUCUGUAAAACACUUGCACAGUCAAAUACAGAAUAAUGGAAUCUCAGUUUACCUACUUAAAAAUCACUUGAUAUGGGAGGAAACUUUUUUACAAAGUAAUCUUGCAGAAUAAGCUCCAGAAGCUGCCAAUACUCCAUCAUGAGUUGGAUGAUUUUUCGAAUCCAGAAUCAAUGGCUUCUAAUUUCUAAUGCAU
rnacentral:lncRNA from 1 species